rnacentral:lncRNA from 1 species
UUGCUAUAAACACACAGAUUACAGUGAAAUUCAAAAACUAAAAACAAGGAAAAAAGUAGUGAUGAAAACCAAUGCCACUUUCGCGGGGAACACGAUUGCAUUCGCACAUGCAACAAGCCUUUUAAACCCAUAGGUGACCCAAAUGGGACGAGUGAAGUCUCGUGAGGGUUUCCAGAGACGUUACCCACAAACAUCAUGCAUACUGAUCAUCAACAUCUGACUUGGGAGACUGAGUAGAUAUCCACCCCUCCAGCAUCAGGUGUUUUUUGGUUGAGGCGUAAUUCGAAUCUGUUUUCAAUGAACGGCCUGGUUAAGAGGUCGCUUUGUAAGUGACGUAAUCGGCAGCGCGUGAUUAGGUUGUUGCUGUCAGGUGGUCCGACAUGCUCGACCUUGAAUAAUGUGCAAGCCCAAUUGUCUUUGGUUUCGUUUCGGUCAGCAGCUGCGGCAAGGACCAAUAGCCUGUUUUGGUCCACCCUUCUCAAGUAGUUGCCGUUGUAGGAGCAUUUGAUAUGCACGUAAUUCUUGUCGGCGUAGUCCUCAUUGUUUGGCUUCUCGGUGGUGAACUUUAUGAACCUGCUAUUUUCAUUGUCCUCAGAAAACUGGACAAUCUCAUGAAGGUCACUUUCUGAAUCAAGUUGAUAGCGCAAAUACUUGUUGUUGAUAUCUGCUUUCAGCAGAAAAGGGCUUGGUAGUACUGGUGGAGCCAUAUCGUAUAGUGUAGUUGGGAUUGGGAUGGCCUCUCUUUUUUGUUCUCUGUUGAUGAUCUAAUUUGCUUGCUGUGAAUGUGAUGCUUAGUUCAAACCUGCUAUCCUAUUUAUAAGAAAAUAAGAACAAGCUAGCUCAAGUUAUGGUCUUUUAUUAAUAUUAAUUACGACAAAUCAGUUUCCCAUCUCUUUCAUUGAUAUGAACAUGGCUGAUCUCAUUGGUAUGGCGCAAUAUUAUUUGUUAAAUUUGCUGUGCGGGUUGAUUUCUUUGUGUAACUCUUCUGCCAAUUCUGCAACUUGUAGACGUAAUUCCCAUUACAAAAUAAAAAAUAAAAAAUAAAUCCAGAACUCAUGUAAGAUAAAUAAAGACUUCUUAUAUCAUAAAAUAAGACUUUCUAACUUGUUUACAAGACUAUAGUGACAAGAUCAAACACAUUGAUGGGUGAGCAUUUUCCUUCAACAUCUGUUCUGUGCGUUUAAAUUGAGCGUGGAGUCUUUUUAGCAAUUAAAAGUUUUGUAUCAUGUAAUUGACUUGGUUUGAUAAGACCUACAUCUAGAUGACUUGGUUCUGAAGACUAAUGUAAAACCUUAUGUUGAUAUUUUUUGAGGGUGAAACAUCAUUUGAGAAACGUUUUGGGCCUCAUUACAAUUUUUUUCAUUUAUUUUUUAAGUUUCGGCUUAAAUAUUCUACAAAAUACAUUUUUGGAUUUAAUAACAGGUAAAACCACUUUCAAAUAUCUUGUUAAGUUUUUCUUAACGUCACAGAAUUUUUUUUACGAAAUUGAAACAUUUGCAUUUUUCACAAAAAAUGUGUUUUCUCAGUUUUGUAAAUUUGUAUAAAAAUCUUCAUUAAGUCCAUUUCUUUUCACAUUCACCUUACCAUGAGGCACUUAAAAUUAAUUUAUAACUUUCCAUCGAUACUUGAGUAUAGACCCUUGUUAAGGCAAAGAAUUGGACUUCACUACAAUUUUUUUAUUUUUUAUUUUUUUUAGGUUUUGGCUGAAAUAUUCUAUUAAAACUAAAUUUGUGGCUCAAUAAUUGGUCAAACUCCUUCCAAACGCUUUAUAACUUUAUAAAUAUAUUGACCUAAUGCUAACGAAAAAUAUUUUGUGAAGAUUAAGGAUUGGGAUUUCUCACAAAAAAUGUGGUUGCUCACUAUUUUUCCUUAGUUUUGCAAAUUUGUGCACAAAUCAUCAGUCAAUCUAUUAGUUUUCAUCUUUGCCUCAGUGUGAUGUUUCUAAAAUUAAUGUAAGAGUUUUUGUUCAUAGUCUUGAGUAUAUACCCCGUUUAGGCAAUGUUGGAUCGCACCACUGUUUUUUUUAUAUUAUUUUUUGGGUUUGGAUUAACGUAUUCUAUUAGAAAUACAUUUAUGGCUCAAUAAUUUGUAGACCACUUUCAGAUGCCCUAUAAAGAUUUUCUUAAUGCUCUUGAAAAAUAGAAAAUUUGUAUUUUUCACACACAAAAACAUGGGCUAACACUAACGAUUUUUAGGUGAUUUUGCAAAUUCGUACAAAAAUAUUAUCAAAUCUUAAGCCUUUAUAAUUCUUGUUCUAAAUGGACUGUCUGUCAAUCGUACAAGAUUAUAAUCACAUGAUAAACACACUGAUGGGUGUGUAAUUUCCUACAAUAUCUUCAAAGUGCGAUUAAAAUGAGCGAUUGUCGACUUUCAUAAAGUAGUAUGGGUAUCGGUCUUUUGUUAUUGCAAACUUUUAUAACUCUUGUACUAACAAUUUGUACAAGUAUAAAUGGAUUAACAGACUAACAGUUUGGAUAUAAAUGAAGACUAAAUGAGGGACUUGAUUCUCAACUUGCACAGUACACAGGUAUGAAGUCUUUUGUUAUAAUUAUAGACUUAAUGUCUAGUUCAUUAAGGUAUUGGUCUCUAAAAGAACUGGAUUUAGAGAACGAAAGUGCAAUCAAAUGAGAAAUAUAUUAGUCUUUCAAAAACACAUGGCUGCAGAUGUGUAGUCGUCUUUUAUUUAUUUAUUUAUUUGAACAAACAAUUGUAUCUACACUAAGGGAUAGAAGAGUGGGCUAAACCUUAGAAUGGGCUUACAACAAUAAUGUGGUUCAACUUCACCUUUGACGAUAAUUGAAUCUAAAACCAUUCACUUAGAAAUAAAGAGGUAUACCACCACACCGUAGUAUUAAGUAACAUGACAGCAUACAGCUAUAGGUGUGGAGUCUUUGUUAGCAUUAAAAGUUUUGUAACAAGUAAUUGACUUGGUGUCAUAAGGCCUACAUCUAGAUGACUCGGUUUUAAAAACUAAUGUAAGAGUUUCUGUUGAUAUUUCUUGAGGGUGAAACACCGUUUGAGAAACGUUUUGGGCCUCAUUACAUUUUUUCACUUAUUUUUUAGGUUUCGGCUUAAAUAUUCUACUAUAAAUACAUAUGUGGCUCAACUAUUGGUAAACCCACUUCCAAAUGUCUUGUAAAGAUUUUCUUAAUGUCACGAUAAAUAUUUUACGAGAGUUAACACUCAUUGUAUUUUAUUGGUUUUGCAAAUUCUUAUGAAAAUCAUCAUUUAGUCCAUUUGUUUUCACAUUCGCCUUACUGUGAGGUACUUAAAAUUAAUGAAUAACUUUCCCACAUUAAGGCAAGGAUUUGGGCCUCACUACAAUAUUUUUUUUUUUUCAUUUAGAAUUUUUAGGUUUCGAGUUAAAUAUACCAUUAAAACUAAAUCUGUGGCUCAAUAAAUUGUAGAAACUUGUCCAAAUGCAUUACAAAUAUAAAACUUUCGAAAUGCAUUACAAAUAUUCUCUUAAUGCUAACAGAAAAUAUUUUGGGAAGAUAAAAGAUCUGCAUUUCUCAAUAAAAUGUGGUUGCUCACUGUUUUUAGUCGGUUUUGCAAAUUCAUAUAAAAUCUUUAUUAAAUCUAUUUGCUUUCACCUUCGCCUCACAAUGAUGUUUCUAAAAUUAAUGUAAGACUUUUUUAUGAUACUCUUGAAUAUAGACCCCGUUUAGGCAAUGUUCGGCCUCACUGCUAUUUUUUUACUUAUUUUUUGGGUUUUGGUUUAAAUAUUCUAUUAUAAAUACAUUUGUGACUCAAAAAUUAGUAGAACCACUUUGAGAUGCCCUAUAAAGAUUUUCUUAAUUCGCACAAAAAAAAUAGAAAAUUUGCAAACAUAAAAGACGUUGGUCAUGAUUUUAGGCGAUUUUGCAAAUUCGUACAAGAAUCAUUAUUAAAUAUAUUUUUUUCAACCUUAUCCUCACCAGAAGGCUUUAAAAUUACUGUAAUAAUUUCGGUUAAUAUUUCUUGAGAUGAAACCCCAUUUUAGCAAUGUUUUAUGCCCAACUAAUAUGUUUUCAGUUAAUUUUAGGUUUCAACUUAAAUAAUCUAUUAGAAAUGCAUUUGUGGCUCUAUAAUUGGUAGAACAACUUUAAAAUGUCUUAUAAAUAUUUAAUUAAUGUUCAGUAAAAUAUUUUGGGAAAAUAUAAAAUUGCAUUUUAGACAAAAAAAAAAAAGCCACGAUUUUUAUACGGUUUUGAAAAUUUGAACAUUGAUAUUUUUACAUUAAGGGGAGGGUGAGUUUGGCUAAGCCACACAAAUGGCAACCUAAUUUGGUAUCAAAUUCGCCAUCCACGAGAUUCAAACCUAAGACCUCCUAUUUCCAAGUGGAGAGGAAUACCACCAGAUCGUAGUACUGAGUGGCAAAAAAUCAUCAAUAAAUCUACUUGUUUCACCUUCACCUUUCCUUGAUGUUUUAAAACUAAUGUAAGGCUUUACGUUAAUAUUCUUGAGUUCAAGGCCGAAUUUAUGCAAUGUUUUGGGCCUUACUACAACAGCAACACACAACAACAACCAAGCCUUGUGCCAUUAAGUGGGGUCUACUGUACACCACAAUGAUCGUGUUUGCACCAAAUCUUUCGCUAGCUAGAAAUACUGCAUAUAAUUUGCUAGUCUGUUUCCAAGUCUUCCUAACUUUUCCUCCACCCCUUUUGCCUUGAGCCUCUAUCUCAUAGUCGCCUAUUCUACCAUAGCAUUUGUAGAUAUUUGGUUCAUGUACCCAAACCAUCUCAACCAAUUUUCUUUCAUCUUAUCUUCAAUGGAGACCCCUCCCACUUUACCUGUCAUGCUCCGAUCCCGACAUUCUUCCAGGAUUGACAUGUGACGUCACCCAUAACAUGUAUAUAUAACAUACCCCGCCUCCCAGAUAUGUACAAGGCACAACUCAUAGUCCAACUGCGUAGUAGUUUUUCGUACACUUUAUGGCUGCAUCUAACCUCCUCGUUAGACUGCCUACGUACCUUAAACAGGGAUCAAGCCAUUCAUAGUUCGUCUUUCACUACACUCAAACAAUCAUCACGAGGAACAUUCGACAAAGCACAAUAAUAUUCUCUAGUCAUCUUGCCAUUCAUAUACACAUAUGCUUCCAAACACCAUUCAAUAAUCACAACAAUCAACAACACAUACAAUAAAUAGAAAUGCAGGGUUAGAGCCACAUAGUUUGGCCGAGGCCUACAUCUCUGAAGCUGAAAUCAAAUCCAGGUAACAAACAAGUCAAAUGAUGCAAUUUCGGACCACUCAACGAAAUCCAUUAACAUCGGGUUCAGAACCACUCUGCGAAAUCGCAGAGUAUAAGGGAUUCUGAACCUCUCAACGACAUAAUAGUGGAUACGAUCCUGAACCAUCAUUUAAUGGAAUCGUGGAUUAGAAGGGAUUUCAGACCAUCACUUAAUGGAAUUGAAAUGGAUAUGAUUCCGAACCAUCAUACAAUGGAAUUACGGAUUAGAAGGGAUUCCGAACCAUCACUCAACGGAAUCCAAGUGGAUACGAUUCCAGACCAUCACUCAAAGGAAUCAUGGGUUAGAAGGGAUUCUGGACCAUCACUCAAUGGAACCCCAGCGGAAACCCAGUUCCGGAUUACUCAAUGGAACUGAGCGGAAGUCCAAGGAAUAUAGCAAUGGCUUGAAGAAACAAUACAAGAACCAAUUACUCAAUUUGGAAGGGCUGAACAAAACAAAAGUGAAAUAAGGAAACAAGAUGGGAAACAAGUUCGGUGUCGAUCCAACGGUCAAAUCGUCAAUUCAUAUAAUAACCAAGUGGCGGCCGACUAGGCGGUCAACUAUGACACUAUAUUAAAAUAUCAAGAUUUCACUAAUGGAUGUCAUAUACGGAAUCAGGGUAUCAAAUUUAGCCUAGGAUGGUCAGGUGGGGUCUCGGCCCACACGCCGAUGCACGUGGUGGCCAGCCGCGCCCGACCCGCCGAAAAAUUCAACUAUUUCAAAAAAAAAUACUAAAUAUUAUAGGCAUGUAGAUCUCAAUGAGGGAAGUAAUUUUCAUAACUGAGCUAAAGUCCAAUUCCGAUGGAAAGUGCUCGGAAUUUCCCUCGAUCCACCGAAACACUAGAAUUUGGGUGUCCUCGAUUCGACCUCCAUAGUAGCUUCGAUGCCUCCUCCACUGCUUAGGAUUUGUUCCUAAGGUUGUGGGGAGCCUUAUGGUGGUGGUGCUUGACGAAGUUACCUUCGGAUAGGAUAGAUCGCCACCACGAACCUUGUCGCACCCAUUGUGCGGGUUUAACAAUUUUAAGGUCAAAUUCCAUUUAUUUUGGGGUGGAAUGGAUAGAGGGGAGGCCAUGGAGUGUUUCCCCAGGAGGUUGUUUGACCUGGUUCGCCCAAAAAACUGAUGAAAAGCCGUUAGAAAUGGCUACCUGAACUGGGUUGGGUCACGCAGGAAAAUGGGUCAAAGAGGGGAUCUGAUUCCCCCAUUCUUUCCUCCCUCCUUUCCCCUUCUUGCUCUCUUCCCCCAUUGGUCACUCCCCCUCCUUUUCUUUCCUGCAACCUCAACUUCCUCUCUCUUGCUGUCAUCUGGCAGCUUCUAAUUUUUUUAUUUUUUUCAGAAACUUCUAACGUUUCCUUUCUCGUCCCGAUUCACGAACAGCCUUCACCUAUGCGCUCGUGGGGUCGAGCUCAAUUAGAAAACAUUAAGCGUGACCUCCAAAGGUCUACAGAUUUUAAAUGAUUAUUUUCAAAAAUUCAAACUUUGUAAUUAAUAAUUAAAAUAUAAAAUUAAUUUAAAUUCACGAAAAUACUAUAAAAUCCUGCGAAUACAAAAUACGUAAAUUACAAUAGUGAAAUCUAAUAGCGGAAUUUCACAUUACCUUGGAUGUCCUCGUUGUUAAUCCAAUCAUUUUGACACCCCGACCCCAAUAACACAAGUUACGAGGUCGAGAUAUCUUGGCCGUCACUAAAUUGACCAUAUGGCCCCAUUGAGGGAUGACUUCACAAGCCAAAUUAAUAACGAAGCCAUAGUAAGAUGAGUGCGAGUAAGAUGAGUGCGAUAUUAGUGAAUUUGAAUUCAACACAUUCAUUAAUAAUAAAUCGAGGUUGCUGCAAAAUUUCCUAAUCAAUCUCCCUACUUGGGAAAUAUAUUCAGGGUUUAGAUCCCAUUAUUAUCACAUCAUCAGAGCUGUCACGCCCCGAUCCCGACAUACGUCCAAGAUCAAUACGUGACGUCCCUAAAUGCCCGUAACUCAACAUACCCCGCCUUUUGGAUAUGUACAAAUUAUAAUUCAAGAUCCAGAUGCAUAAUAAUUUUACGUAUACUUUAUGGCUGCAUCUAACAUCUUCGUUAGACUACCUACGUACUCUCAAUAGAAAUCAAGCCAUUCGUAGUUCCACUAUCGUCAACUCUAAUCUUUCCAUAAAAUACUUCUAACAAAAAAUCAUAAGCACCAUAUUACACAUCAACCUUACGUCAACAACAAUUAUCAUCUUUCAUACACGCAUGUAAUGUAACCCAUUCUCACACAGAUACUUUCCAAUUCAUCCAUCAUAUAGAUCACUCUGUUUCACAUAAUACCGCAAAUCAUAGUAUGUAACAUAUCAAAUAACCAACAAAGCACAAUGUUAUUCUCAAGUCACAUUAAUCAAUUACUCUAAUCAUAAUAAUCUCAAUCAUACCCAACGUCAUUCCACAAUCACUUCAAUUAAUUAAUCAUGAAUCAAAGAUACAUGAUCUUAGCAUUUAAUUGUUUAAUCAAUGAAUACAGUAACAUAUCAUUUCACAAAUUUAACCAAGGAACUCUAUCAACUCCGAAAGAGUUACCCAUACAUCCAACGGAUCAUUUGGAACAAAUCACAACAGCUCAUAAUCAUAAUCUCAUACAACACCAUGAAAAGUAAGGCUAGAGCGACAUAGUUCAGCCGAAGCCUACAUCUCUAAAGCUAUCUCGAUCCAAACUCAAUAAAACCCAAGGUGAACACAAUCCCGAACCAUCUCUCAACAGAAUCACGAAGUAUGAAGGAUUCCGAACCAGCUCUUAACGAAAUCCAAGUGGAUACGAUUUCGGACUAUCACUCAACGAAAUCGCGGAGCACACUGCAUAACCACCACUAAGUGAAACCCAAGUUAGAUAUGAUUCUGGAACAUCACUUAAUGGAAUUGUGGAGUAGAAGGGAUUCCAGACCAUCACUCAACGAAAUCGGGGAGUACAAGGGAUUCCGGACCAUCACAACGAAAUCCAAACCAGGAUACAAUUCAAGAUCACCACUCAACGGAAUCGCGGAGUAGAAUGUGUAACACCAAUCAAUAAAACAAGACAUGGAUCAAGUUACUCAAUGUACAAAGACUCAACGGAAUGAGGAUGAAUAAUGGCACGUGGGUUGAAACAUGUUUCGAAGGCAACCAACCCCAAAACAAUGGUUAAUGGUCCACUUUUAGCCCUCACAUUUCAUCACCUCAAUCCAAUCAUACAAUACAAACCAUAUUUCCAAUGCACAAGUCAAAUCAUACAUAAUGAAAAGAGAUCAAUGACCAAAAAUAAAAUAACACUUCAAUAGAAUUCACAUUUAAUUAACAUGGGUCUAUGGCAUAUAUAUAUAUAUAUAUAACAUGAGCCAAAGAAAUCAUUUUUCUGCAGCUUACGUAACAGCCCAUUUCCAAUUCAUAUAACAAAUCUCAAAAUACUUCCAGGUAGCCUAGAAGCAUGUAUACAACAUCCAAAACUAACAUGACUCAAAAUUAACAAGAAAUUGACCUUUUGAACCAAACCCUUGAUCAAGAAAUUUGAUCUACACACCCAAUCUGAAAUACCCAACUCUAAUUCAUGUUAGACUAGUUCAUUGAAUGAUAGAAACCCUAAAUAGAAUUAAGAACUCCAAUAUAUCAUGGCAGUUUCAAUUCAACUUAAGAAAGUUAAAUUUGAAAAUCAAGAUAAUGAAGUAACAAGGAAUUUUACCCUUUAAAUGUCUGAAUCCUUCCUUCACAAUCACGUUCUCUAUCUCCUCUCUCUCCGAUUUUUGCUUGAAGAAAGAAGGAUUUUCUUCCAACAGCAAUGGAAGAGCCACCUCCUCUCUGUUUCUUUUUCUUUCCUCGCAAAGCCAGGAAGAAUGUGGAAGAACGUUCUUUUCCCCCUUUUCUUUCGCAACUCCCUUUUUCCUUCUCUCCUCCCUCCCUGUUUCUUUUCCUUCUUCCCCCCGUUGGUCCCUCAUUUUCCUCCUCUGUUUCUUUUUUUUUUCCCCUCUUUUUCUCGCCAUUCUCGUGGCUUUCCUAUUUCUUGUCUCCUUCAGCCACUCCCGUGGCUUUUUCUUCUCAUUUUUUUUUUUGCAACAACUUCAAACGUCCGUAACUAUACUGUUAUAAUCCGAACUCGCAAACGGCUUUCGCCUAUGCGUUCAUGAUCUCGAUAUCUAUUCAACAAUAUAAAUUGUGACCUCGAAUGGUCUACGGAUUUUAAAUAAUUAAUUUCCCGAAAAAUAAUAUAAAAUCUCUAUAAUACCAAUACGUAGAUUAUAAUAAUGAAAUCCAGGAACGGGAUUUCACAAGAGCAGCUAGAAGUUUCAAGAAACACAUAAAAAUGUAGUGCUAUGCAUAAUCAAGAGUGCGAUCAUGCAAAAAUUACUGACAAAAUAAAUAUGCAAUAGAGGAAUCAUUACCCAAAAUCCAAAAAAUGAUACCUCACUGCCAAGUCCACUUGCCAUCACUGAGGUUCUCCUGAUUCUCGCUAUGUCCUAAGGGGUUGAUAAACAAAGUAUGAGUGGAUCAAGUUCUAUCUCGUCAAAAUCAAUCGAAUAACCUCCAUUUUGAAAUAUGCUAUUGUAAAAUUAUCAAAGAUACGGGCUUAGGGCCCACAUCCAACAAUAUCGAUAUAGUCCCAACUUGGUAAUUACUACCCUUACAAUCCGUCAGGUGUGAGGUUUUAUCACAAAAAGCCUUGGUGUUAGAUGGGGUGAGGAUAGGAUAUUUAAACUCCUCUGUACUUAGAGAUAUAGUUGAUGUGAGAUAUUUUAACACCUAUAUAUAUUUAUAUAGUAAAAACUACAUACAUAAUAAUACUACCAUAAUAGUGGUCACAAUCAAUUCAUCUCGCACGUCAUAUCAAAGAAAGUAAGUCAUUCAUAAAAUCAAAGUAAUAGAAUAUGAUUUUAUCAAUAUCGUAGAUGAUUCUUAUAAUCAAGUAUACACACGUUGGUGCGACUUCGAUUCCAAUGAUCUCUCCCUUUUAACAACUAACUAUAUUUAUUUCAUAAACGCUAUAAUUUGUAUUUAUGAAAAAAUGAUUUAAUCAUAUUAAUUCUGCAUAGUCCCGUCAAGUUGGAUAGUAAAUGUCAUAAAUAAGGCUUUUUAGUCAAAAUGAAGUCCUUGAGAUUUGCCUAACUCAUCACCUUGGUCCUUGAGAUUCAAAAUCAAUAGAAGUGGUCCUUGAGAUAGUCCACCACCAAUCAUUAUGGUCCUUCGGUGAAAAAUUGUGUUAAAUAAGAAUGAAAAUGAUAAAAUUACCCUCAAUGUAAUAAACAAUAGGCCAACAUGAUUUGACAAAAUUUGAGGGUAUUUUUGUCAUUUUAUCCUUAUUUUAUGGAGUUUUUUCACGGAAUAACGAAAAUGAUUGAUUGUGGACAAACUCAAGGAUUAAUUCUAUCGAUUUCAAAUCUCAGGGACCAAAACGAGGAGUUAUGCAAAUCUCAAGAACCAUUUUAACUAAAAAAUUAUUAUUCCUAAUAUCCUAAGAGUGUUGCUACUCCCACCCCGAUGUCUUAUUUCUCCACCCACUCUAAAUUAAAUAUUUUGUUUACAAAUUUAUCCUCUUGCAAAAUGGCUUUGAAGGACCUAAACAAAAAAGGAUUUUGACAAAGUAAGACCCAAAAAAAUUCAAUUUGAAUAUAUAUAAAAAAAAAGUUUAGAAAAAAAAUUCAAUUUGCUUGCUGUGAAUGUGAUGCUUAGUUCAAACCUGCUAUCCUAUUUAUAAGAAAUUAAGCACAAGCUAUCUCAAGUUAUGGACUUUAAUUAAUAUUAAUUUCGACAUAUCAGUUUCCCAUCCCUUUCACUGAUAUGAACAUGGCUGAUCUCAUUGGUGUGGCGCAAUAUUUGUUAAAUUAGCCGUUCGGGUUGAUUUCUUUGUAUAACUCUUCUGCCAAUUCUGCAACUUGUAGACUUAAUUCCCAUUACAAAAUUUUAAAAAAAAAAAUCCAAAAUUAAUGUAAGAUAAAUAAAGACUUUUUAUAUCAUAAAAUAAGACUUUCUAACUUGUAUACAAGACUAUAGUGACAAGAUCAAACACAUUGAUGGGUGCGUAUUUUCCAUCAACAUCUGUUUUGUGCGUUUAAAUUGAGCGUGGAGUCUUUUUUAGCAUUUAAAAGUUUUUUAUCAUGUAAUUGACUUGGUUUGAUAAGACCUACAUCUAGAUGACUUGGAUCUGAAGACUAAUGUAAAACCUGCUAUCCUAUUUAUAAGAAAUUAAGCACAAGCUAGCUCAAGUUAUGGUCUUUAAUUAAUAUUACUUUCGACAAAUUAGCUUCCCAUCCUUUCAUUGAUAUGAACUUGGCUGAUCUCAUUGGUGUGGCGAAAUAUUUGUUAAAUUAGCUGAUCGGGUUGAUUUCUUUGUAUAACUGUUCUGCCAAUUCUGCAACUUGUAGAUGUAAUUCCCAUUACAAAAUAAAAAAAAUAAAAUCCAAAACUCAUAUACGAUAAAUAAAGACUUUUUAUAUCUUAAAAUAAGACUUUCUAACUUGUAUCAAGACUAUAGUGACAGGAUCGAACACAUUAUGGGUGCGCAUUUUCCAUCAACAUCUGUUCUGUGCGUGUAAACUGAGCGUGGGGUCUUUUUUAGCAAUUAAAAGUUUUGUAUCAUGCAAUUGACUUGGUUUGAUAAGACCUACAUAUAGAUGACUUGGUUCUGAAGACUAAUGUAAAACCUUUUGUUGAUAUUUCUUGAGGGUGAAACAUUGUUUGAGAAACGUUUUGGCCCUCAUUACAAUUUUUUUCAUUUAUUUUUUAAGUUUCGGCUUAAAUAUUCCGCUAUAAAUACAUUUGUGGAUUUAAUAACAGGUAAAACCACUUCCAAAUAUCUUGUGAAGUUUUUCUUAAUGUCACCGAAAUUGUUUAAGGAAAAUGAAACAUUUGCAUUUUUUCACAAAAAUUGUGGUUUCUCAGUUUUGUAAAUUUGUAUAAAAUUCUUCAUUAAGUCCAUUGGUUUUCACAUUCGCCUUACCAUUGGGCUUCACUACAAUUUUAUUAUUUUAUUUAUUUUUUAGGUUGUGGCAGAAAUAUUCUAUUAAUUAAAUUUGUGGCUCAAUAAUUGGUAAAACUCUUUCCAAAUGCUUUAUAAAUAUAUUGUCCUAAUGCUAACGAAAAAUAUUUUGUGAAGAUUAAGGAUUUGGAUUUCUCACAAAAAAUGUGGUUGCUCACUAUUUUUCUUUAGUUUUGCAAAUUCGUACAUAAAUAAUCAUUGAAUAUAUUAGUUUCUUGAUAUUCUUGAGUAUAUACCCCGUUUAGGCAAUGUUGGACCUCACUAUUGUUUGUUUUUAUUAUUUUUUGGGUAUGGGUUUAAGUAUUCAUUAGAAAUACAUUUGUGGCUCAAUAAUUGGCAGACCACUUUUAGAUGCCCUAUAAAGAUUUUCUUAAUGCUCUAGAAAAAUAGAAAAUUUGCAUUUUUCACAUAGAAAAAUGUGGGCUAACAAUCACGAUUUUUAGGCGAUUUUGCAAAUUCGUACAAAAAUAUUAUCAAAUCUUAAGCCUUUAUAACUCUUGUUCUAAAUGAACUGUUUGUCAAUUGUACAAGAUUAUAAUUACAUGAUAAACACACUGAUGGGUGUGUAAUUUCCUGCAAUAUCUUCAAAGUGCGAUUAAAAUGAGCGAAUGUCGACUUUCAUAAAGUAGUAUGGGUAUAGGUCUUUUAAUAGUGCAAGCUUUUAUAACUCUUGUACUAACCAUUUGUACAUGUUUAUAAAUGGAUUAACAGACUAACAGUUUGGGUAUAAAUGAAGACUAAAUGAGGGACUUGAUUCUCAACUUGCACAGUACAUAGGUGUGAAGUCUUUUGGUAUAAUUAUAGACUUAAUGUCUAGUUCAUUAAGGUAUUGGUCUCUAAAAGAACUGGAUUUAGAGAACGAAAGUGCAAUCAAAUGAGAAAUAUAUUAGUCUUUCACAAAGCACAUGGCAGCAGAUGUGGAGUCGUUUUUAUUUAUUUAUUUAUUUAAACAAACGAUUGUAUCUACACUAAGGGGUAGAAGAGUGGGCUAAAUCUUAGAAUGGGCUUACAAUAAUAAAGUGGUUUAACUUCACCUUUGCCGAUAAUCGAAUCUAAAACAUUUCACUUACAAAUGAAGAGGUAUACCACUAGACCGUAGUACUAAGUAGCAUGCCAGCAUACGGCUAUAGGCGUGGAGUCUUUGUUAGCAAUUAAAAGUUUUGUAACAAGUAAUUGACUUGGUGUCAUAAGGCCUACAUCUAGAUGACUCGGUUUUUAAAACUAAUGUAAGAGUUUCUGUUGAUAUUUCUUGAGGGUGAAACACCGUCUGAGAAACAUUUUGGGCCUCAUUACAAUUUUUUUUUCACUUAUUUUUUAGGUUUCGGCUUAAAUAUUCUACUAUAAAUACAUAUGUGGCUCAACAAUUGGUAAAACCACUUCCAAAUGUCUUGUAAAGAUUUUUUUAAUGUCACGAAAAAUAUUUUAUGAGAGUUAACACUCAUUGUAUUUUGUUGGUUUUGCAAAUUCUGAUGAAAAUCAUCAUUUAGUCCAUUUGUUUUCACAUUCGCCAUACUGUAAGGUACUUAAAAUUAAUGAAUAACUUUUCCACGUUAAGGCAAAGAUUUGCGCCUCACUACAAAUUUUUUUUUCAUUUAGAAUUUUUAGGUUUCGAGUUAAAUAUACCAUUAAAACUAAAUUUGUGGCUCAAUAAAUUGUAGAAACCUUUCCAAAUGCAUUACAAAUAUUCUCUUAAUGCUAACUGAAAAUAUUUUGGGUGUUGCAGUCCUAUUAGAUUAGGAAUACGAUUGUGUAAAUCCUAGUAUAUCUUGGAAUAUCUCUUAUAUACCUAUUAGGAGUAGAUUACCUAUUAAAUGUUGUAAUCCUAAAGGGUAAGGAAUUAACCUUCUUACUAUUAUAAAUAAAGGCACAAUGAGGUGAAAUAACACACACCCAUAAUUACACAUCUCUCUCUUCUUCUUCUCUAUUGCCGUACCUUUCUCUCUCUCUAUGGCCUCCAUAAUUGUUCAGCAAAUUAUACCUACAACACGUUAUCAGCACGCUUUGACGCUGCUCUAAAGAGAGUUUAUUCUUAAAUCAGGAGAGUAUUGCGUUUUAAUCAUUCUUUUUGUGAUUAAUUUAUUAUUUUAUUGAAUUGAUCUACAUGCUAUUGAUUCAUCUUUCUUUGUUGAACGUGAUACAAUGCAUUAGAGAUGCAAUUCCAGCUUUCCAAGAAUGAACUUCUACAAAUUCAAAGGCUUUUAUUGUUUUCUGCCAAUCAGAUAAGCUUAAAAUGAAGGAAGAUAUUUGAAAUGACCUUGAAGCAUGAAAACAUUCCCCAUGACGCAUGAACCCCCUAUGUUUAUAUUUUGCUUCCGAUCUAUAUAUUGUAUAUGUUCAUAUAUUUGUCAAUAUAUAUAUAUAUGUAUAUAUAUAUAUUUGUUACAUGCUUAUGCAAUUAAAUUGCUAUGUGGAAUUGUGAGUCAAAGCAUAUAAAUAAAUUAGAAGCAUAUUAGGGUUUUUCAAACCCUACAUAUCGAAAAAAAUUCUUUAGGAAAAACACUAAGCCAAUGUACCAAGCCAGCAGCUUGUCAGCGUCACCAAUGACUUCAAUCUGACAUCUAUCUAACAUUAGCAGCCUCUGUUUGUGCUUGAGAACCAAGCCUGGACCUGGGUUUCCUUCUGAUGGCCUAUAACUCUUGGCCCACCAACUAGCAUGCUUAUACUUGCGGGGCUAGUUCUGCAUCGAAGCUAAAGCCUAAACGUGUUGGGCUUCAUCGUGAAACCCCAACAGCGCAAAGCUACAGGGCUCUUUCUAACACAGCUCGUGUCCCAAAAAUUACAAGCCUGUAGCUUGCUUUGCAAGAUGGGCUGCACAUCUGCUUUUCCUCUGCCCACUAUCAACCAAAAUGUGUUGCUUUCUCUCAGCCUGCUGCCACAUGCACCUAUGACCCAAGCUAAAAAAGCCUGUAAUUUUUGCAGGACCGUGUAUUGUAGCCAACCAAAGUGUGUUGGGCUGCAUUCGUUUUUCGACCCAAUGCUAAUUUUUGGCAUUCUAAAUAAUUUUAACCCGAAUGUUAUAAUUAUUUUUGCUUCUACAAUUGACCCCGAAUGGUCUUGAUAUAUUGAAUUAAUUAAAAGUGACAUGCAGUCCAUUAAUCUGAUAAUUAAUCCAAAAUUAUUGGACUAAAUCCCACUUUUGGACAUUAACGAUUCAAUAAUUUAUUUCUUUUCUUUGAACCGUUGACUCACUUUCGUAGUCCCGAAGCACUCACACUUGAGUUCCCGAAAAAACUCAAAUCCACUACACGUAGUUGUAUAUUGCAUUUUGUGUUUCUUGCAGGAACCUCUCUUUUAUGAACUAAAUGUUCAUAAACUUAAUUGAACCUGUACUUUCAAAAUUAGUGCCUUUGAAACCCGAAGUUUUCAUAAAACAAUACACCCAUGAAAACUUGAUCUUUUUCAUGAAAACUAUGUCUUAGAACUCGAAUGUUCUCACUUUGAUGCUUAUGGAUGAUUAUUUCCCAUAGUAACAAUCACACUUGUUCCCUCCAAUUCAGUGGAUUGUCGAACCGUCACAAGUUUGAUUUUCCUGAUUUGGACGUUUCUAAUAAAAACCACUUUAUGUGAGGUAUAAGACGUGAAUCUUCACUUGACUAUCAAGAAGCUGAGAAACCAUUAAAGCCAACAAUGGCAUGGAAGAGCUGAAUAAGCCUCCACCAUGAUCUUCAUUCGAAGACUUAUGCUCAAAGCAUUACAAAUGGAAAUACCUCCCGAUCAAGGAUUCCAUUGCUUUUUGGCUCGUUUCUACGGACUGUCUAAUCAUGAAAGACAUUGCCUAAAGCACACCAUGACUACGUCCAUGAAUGAGUACAAUUCUGAAGUUUAUAAAUCUGAUUGAAUUUUGACUGGAGAAUACUUUUCUCAUCCUUUCUUGUUUCUAACUCGCCUAUGAAGUAGCAGUGUAAAUAGCGGAAGUUUACCAAAUUCUCGGAUUUGAUUACUACCACAAAUGUGAGAGAAAUGUAUGGACCCAAUUCGGCUGGAGUCUACCGAAUAGCUCAACCCAGUUCGAUCAAAGCCUACCGAAUGGUGAUCCACUGCUUCGGCAGGGAUACACCGAAUGGCAUAUUCUCUCACAAUCCAAUUUCGAGUUUGUUUUUACAACAUAUGGUAGAAUCAGGGCUGGCCAAGGUGUGGCAUCAUGCCCGAAGCAUGAUCCUUGGUACCUAAGACCUAAAACUUCAAGAACAAGGGAAAAUAUUCCUGAACCUUAACCCUGCAGAAUCUAUUUCAGUCUCGAUGGAAUAGACCAUUGGUUAUGCACAUGUUCGUGCCCCUACCAAUGUUGUUAAGGAGUACCAUUCUAGUAGUCAAUACGUGAGACUAAUUUUGCUCCACCAAACACCAUUGGAAGAGCAGAAUUUUGACAUGGAUAGCCUUGUUGGCUGAAUCCCCUUAGUAAACCAUUGAAUUUGCGAACAUUUUUCCAUGUUCUUGGAUUCAUGUUUAGUGUAUGUUUUGCUUAUGGAUAAUCUUAUUGAUGUUGUCCUCGAAUAUGAGUUAAUUGAAUCAUGUUUCUUAAUACAUGUGACCGAUUCAAUUAAACAUGUGAUUGGUAGGAAUGUGGGAAAGUUAGUUGUCUGGAUGAAUACGUACUACGCACACUAACCAUUCAGGUCUAUCCAACUUGAUUAAGAGCAUUUGGCACACUCCUUGUUGUAUGAAUGGUACUGAAUCACCAUUUAGGGGACCUUAAAUUCUCCCUGACGUUUAGUUUUUAAGCAUAUUCAAGUUGACAAUGAUCAUAAAUGAAACCACUGAAGCAAUAAGAGUGAAAUAUCUUUGCAACACCUCCAAACAUGAGCUUUAAGCUUUGAUUUGGGGCCAAUAAGUAGUCUCCCAAUUGGGAACACACCACAUGUGGACGGCUUAGAGCUGGGUGAUUGAGCAGUUUAAUUGUUUUGGCACGACCUUUUAGGACACUUAGGUCGAACAAUGAUGCUACGACGCAUCUCCUUAUCUGAAGUAAGGAUCUUAUGCCUACAAGCACACUUUGCGAAGCCUACUCAUUAGGGAAAUUGAUGUUUUUUAUAUUAUUCCUUGCAAAGAUACGAAAUCACCCUUUUUCAUAAGUGGAUUCAAGGGAAUAUAUGUGGACUAAUCCAACCAAAAUGAAGACCAUAUAAAUACUUAUGAUUUUGGUUGAUGAAUCGACAAACUGGUCACAUGUUUGUCCAUAAACAUUGCUGCUAAACCUCUUGGCCGAUUAAGGGCUCACCACCCUACUUAUUAUCCCUUAAGGUUUGAGAGACUGGAUAAUGCCGAAGAGUUUAUAUCAAUGGUUUUCGAUAAAGUAUUGCAUGUCGUUUUGGGUUUAUAAUUGAAUAUUGAAUUCCCAUGUUCAUCCCAAAUAGCCUCGCCUAGCGAUCAUAAAGCGCAAUUUGAAUGAUUGCCCGAAUUUUGGUACACAUACCAAGUCUUUAGUUUCUGCCUAGGGCUAUGUAAUCUUGUACGCAAUUAUUUUGGUCUGCCUUGAGGCCCAUUGCCACCCAACCUAUAUGACGUUAUAGUUGGUUACUGGGUACGAACCUGACUAUUUUCGUAUUAACGCAUUUGGGUAUGCAUUCUCUGUGCUAAGUUGCGCCGCCGUAACAUACCACCAUAUGUCGUCAAAGAAGGAUGUGUAUCUUUUGUCGAUCAUGAUUCUCCUACACACUAGCUCUCUUCGAGCCCUUGCACACGAUCUCUUUACCGCUCAUUUACGGGUUGUCACUUUAAUGAGACAAUCUUCCCACCAUUAGGGGGAGAUAAGAACGUCAACGUUCCUGGAAAACAACACGAAUUUACGUGGACGUUACCCACUAUGUCUCAUCUCGAUCCCCAUACCACACAAGUGUGAUAAGCAAGUGCGAUGAAUUCUAGCUUUCAGAAUGUUACUCCAGACGUAUUCUCCUGAUCUAACUAAAGUGACAUACCAGCUGUAAACAUGUCUGCAAGGAUAGACAUACUUAACGGACGUCGAGUCAACAUCCCUGGAAGGUGUACCGCCCUUGUUGGACGGUUUGGAUGCCCAUGUUGGAUGGUCCAGUACAUCGGCAGAUAGCCAAUCAAUCUGUCUUGGCCUGGAGCACAAUAGAUCACUCGGUUCGUAGGAUUCACUUCCCUGGAAGAGGAAGACAAGGCACAACAAUGAAUCUAAACUCGAUCAUUAUCUUAAAUAAUUUCCAUCUCAUGAGAUUAAUUCAGAUUUCUCCCGAGACUUAAAGUUCUUGGUCCAGUAUACUAGUUGGGAUGAGCUAAAUGGAAUUGAAAUGAGAUUAUCAUCGAUGAUGCUUUCACUUAUAUGGUAGCUACAGACAUAAAUGAAAAGCGACAAUAUCAAACUGUGUUCCGUUGAUUAAAUGUAGAACUGAGCGGACAACUAAAGUUACAAUCCAAGUCAAAUUCCUUACCAAAGUGUGUAUUGGACAUGUCGUUCCUACACUGCCCAAGGUAAUCCUGUUGUGUUAUAAGUGGGAAAGGAAGCGUUAUGAGAUGAAUGAAAUAGUGCAAUAUGAUGCACGCCUUACGACGCAAGGUUUCUCUCAAACAUCAUGUGAUUAAUAACAGCAUUAUGAAAUGUGGUUAGUGUUUUCUCCAUGGGGAUAUAGAUACAAAGAAUUACGUGUAAGUUCUUGAAGAAUUACAUGGACUGUUUCAAAUGGUUCCAAAACCACAAAACACCCUCUUAACUCGUUUUGAGGCGUUCACUUAUGGAUUGAAAAAUCUGACGGAUGUGGUAUACCCGUCUAAAUGAUUAUUUGAUUAGUCAGGGAUGAAUUAUGCCCUUGCGUGUUAAACUAUGAAGCCUUUUUCCAAAUUGUUAGAGUUACAGUUUAUGUCGUUGACAUGAAUCUCACUAAGACUCCGAAAGAGCUUGAGAAAACUGCUUUGCACCUAAAGAUGGAAUUUGAGAUGAAGGAUCUUGGAAAAACUCGUUAUACCUUAACCCAAAGUUGAAGCAUUGUUCUGACGGUAUUUUUGGUCUACUGGUCAAACUACACUUCGAAUGUGUUACCUUUGAGUAUACCUAUGAUCGUCCAUAAGUUAUAUGAAAAUGAAACCCUUGAAAAGGUUAUGGAAUUAGAAAUUCCAUAUCUAAGUUCAACGUUGUGCUUCGUUGUACUUAGCUCAUUGUAUUUAGACAUGACAUCUCAUUCGUUGUUGAUCUUGGUAAAGAUGCAGCAUCGUGCCUACACGCAACCACUGAAUUGGUAUUAAAGACAUACCCUGAAGGUACCACAUGGGCAAAUCCCAUUGCAUCUUAGCCGAUCUAACCCCUCUGAUCCUUGAAAUGAUGUUUGCUUUGUUUGUUAUGCUGACGCAUGUUACUUAUCAAACUCACUCAAGGCAAAAUCCCCAAAUGGUUAUGUCUUUACCGUUAGGGAUAUCGCAAUAUCUUGGAGGUCCAUGAUAUGACCUUAGUUGUGAAAUCUUCGAAUCGUUCCAAGACUCACCUUACUUCACUGUGUCACAAGUGAGACAUGGUUAGGAGUUCUUGUUGAGCAUAUUCGAAGUACUUGCUAUGUUUUCAUCCAUCGUUGAGUCCUAACGACGAUCCAUGAAGAUUAUGCCGCAUGUAUCAACCCGACCAAGCCAUGAUACAUCAACGAAGUCAACACCAAGACAUAUUGCGUCCACAUCUACAUCAGCAAAGCGUCAGGAGAUUGAAAUCGUGCAAGCCGAUCCCAGACAACUUGUCGACCUCUACACGACGUCACUGCCGAAGUCAACCUUCCAGAAGCUUGUCCAAGGAAUUGGUAUACCUAACUAUUCAUAUGCAAUGCUUGUAGUUCUCAUUUGGAAGUUAUGUCAAACUCCAAGGGAGUAUCCAAAAGUAUACUCAAUCUUAAUGUACUCUUUUUCCCUACGAUUAAGAGCAUUUUUCCCACUGGGUUUUUGCUACCUAACUAGGUUUUAACGAGGCACCCAUCUGGGCUGAUCAUACCCUUGAGAGCUCUUCUACUUGCUUCCAAAUGACGUAUAGUUUUAACUUAAUGCAACUUCUCACUUUUCUCCUUAGUCUGUGGGUUUUUCUCCCACCUUGGGUUUUACCAUAGUGAGGUUUUGUGAGUUUUACUUGUUAUGCAUUCUUCAGUUGUUUUGAGACUCGCAUUCGCUCAUUGUGCCGACGACUUCAUCAAUUGUACUUGCUUCAUCAUUGAUGACCUAUUGCACCAUUUACUUGAGUAUUUACACACUCAAGGGAGAGUGUUGCAAUCCUAUUAUAUCUUGGAAUAUCUCUUAUAUUCCUAUUAGGAGUAGAUUGCCUAUUAAAUGUUGUAAUCCUAAAGGGUAAGGAAUUAACCUUCCUACUACUAUAAAUAAAGGCACAUCUCUCUCUUCUUCUUCUCUAUUGUCGCACCUUUUUUCUGUCUCUAUGGCCUCCAUAAUUGUUCAGUAAAUUAUACCUACAACAUUGGGAAGAUAAAAGAUCUGCAUUUCUCACAAAAACGUGGUUGCUCACUGUUUUUAGUCAGUUUUGCAAAUUCAUAUAAAAAUCUUCAUUAAAUCUAUUAGUUUUCACCUUUGCCUCACAAUGAUGUUUCUAAAAGUAAUGUAAGACUUUUUGUUGAUAUUCAAGAAUAUAGACCUUGUUUAGGCAAUGUUCGGCCUCACUGCUAUUUUUUUACUUACUUUUUGGGUUUUGGUUUAAAUAUUCGAUUAGAAAUACAUUAGUGACUCAAAAAUUAGUAGAACCACUUUCAGAUGCCCUAUAAAGAUUUUCUUAAUGCUCACAAAAAAAAAUAGAAAAUUUGCAAACACAAAAAACGUGGGUCAUGAUUUUAGGUGAUUUUGCAAAUUCAUACAAGAAUCAUUAUUAAAUAUUUUUGUUUCAACCUUAUCCUCACCAUGAUGCUUUUAAAAUUAGUGCAAUAAUUUCGGUUAAUAUUUCUUGAGAGUGAAACCCCAUUUCAGCAAUGUUUUAUGCACAACUAAUAUGUUUUCAGUUAAUUUUUGGGUUUCAGCUUAAAUAAUAUAUGAGAAAUGCAUUUGUGGCUCUAUAAUUGGUAGAACAACUUUCAAAUGCCUUAUAAAUAUUUAAUUAAUGUUCAGUAGAAUAUUUUUUGAAAAUAAAAAAUUGCAUUUUAGACAAGAAAAAAAGUCACGAUUUUUAGACGGUUUUGAAAAGUUGUAUAAUUUUUUUAAUACAUCUAUAUUUUUACGCUAAGGGGAGGGGGAGUUUGGCUAAGCCACACAAAUGGCAGUCUAAUUCGGUCAAAUUCGCCAUCCACGAGAUGUGAACCUAGGACCUCCCACUUCCAAGUGGAGAGGAAUACCACAAGAUCGUAGUACUGAGUGGCAAAAAAUCAUCAAUAAAUCUAAUUGUUUUCACCUUCGCCUUUCCAUGAUGUUUUAAAACUAAUGUAAGGCUUUACAUUAAUAUUCUUGAGUACAAGCCCCAAUUUAUGCAAUGUUUUAGGCCUUACUACGACAGCAACACACAACAACAACCAAGCCUUAUGCCAUUAAGUGGGGUCUACUAUACACCACUAUGAUCGGGUUUGCACCAAAACUUUCGUUAGCUACAAAUACUUCAUAUCAUUUCCUAGUUUUUUUUCCAAGUCUUCCUAACUUUUCCGCCACCCCUUUUGCCUUGAGCCUCUAUCUCAUAGUCGCCUAUUCUACCAUAGCAUUUGUAGAUACUCGGUUCAUGUACCCAAACCAUCUUAACCAAUUUUCUUUCAUCUUAUCUUCAAUGGAGACCACUUCUACUUUACUUGUCAUGCCCCGAUCCCGACAUUCGUCAAGGAUCGGCGCGUGACAUCACCCAUUACAUGUAUAUAUAACAUACCCCGCCUCCGAGAUAUGUACAAAGCACAACUCACAGUCCAACUGCAUAGUAAUUUUUCGUACGCUUUAUGGCUACAUCUAACCUCCUCGUUAGACUGCCUACGUACCUUAAACAGGAAUCAAGCUAUUCGUAGUUCGUCUUUCACUACACUCAAACAAUCAUCACGUAAAUCACUAUGUCGCAACAUAAUACCACAAUUCAGGUAUGCAACAUCUCAAGGAAUAUUCGACGAAGCACAAUAAUAUUCUCUAGUCAUCUUGCCAUUCACACACAUAUGUUUCCAAACACCAUUCAAUAAUCACAGCAAUCAAUAGCAUACACAAUACAUCGAAAUGCAGGGUUAGAGCCACAUAGUUUGGUCGAAGCCUACAUCUCUAAAGCUGAAAUCAAAUCCAAGUAACAAACAAGUCAAAUGAUGCGAUUUCGGAUCACUCAAUGAACUCGCAUAGUAGAAGGGAUUCCAAACCUCUCAAUGGAAUUCGAGUGGAUACGAUCCCGGACCAUCACUUAACAGAAUCGUUGAUUAGAAGGGAUUUUAGACCAUCAUUUAAUGGAAUCCAAGUGGAUACGAUUCCAGACCAUCACUUGACAGAAUUGCAAAUUAAAAGGAAUUCCGAACCAUCACUCAACGGAAUCCAAGUGGAUAUGAUUCCAGGCCAUCGCUUAAUGGAAUCGCAGGUUAGAAAGGAUUCCGGGCCAUCACUCAAUGGAACCCUAGCGGAAACCCAGUUUCGGAUUAUUCAACGGAAUCGAGCGAAAGUCCAAGGAAUAUAACAACGGCUUGAAGAACAAUACAAGAACUAAGUACUUAAUAUAGAAGGUUGAACGAAAUGAAAGUGAAAUAAGGAAACAAGAUGGGAAACAAGUUUUGUGUCGAUCCAACAGUCGGAUCAUCAAUUCAUAUAAUAACCAAGUGGCGGCCGACUAGACGGUCAACUAUAAAACUAUAUUAAAAUAUUGGGAUUUCAUUAAACGGAUGUCAUAGAUGGAAUCAGGGUAUCAAAAUUAGCCUAGGAUGGUCAGGUGGGGUCUCGUCCCACCCGCCGAUGCACGCGGUGGCCAAUCGCGCUCGACAUGCCGAAAAAUUCAACUGUUUCAAAAAAAUUACCAAAUUUUACAGGCAUGUAUAUCUCAAUGAGCGGAGUAAUUUUCAUACAUGAGUUGAAGUCCAAUUCAGAUUGAAAGUGCUCUGAAUUUCCCUCGAUCCAUCGAAACCCUAGAAUUUGGGUGUCCUCGAUUCGACCUCCAUAGUAGCUCCAAUGCCUCCUCCACAGCUUGGGAUUUGUUCCUAAGGUUGAGGGGAGCCUUAUGAUGGUGGUGGUUAACAAAGUUACCUUCGAAUUUGAUAGAUCGCCACUACGAACCCUGUUGCACCCACCAUGCGGGUUUCACAAUUUCAAGGCCAAAAUCCAUUUAUUUUGGGGUGGAAUGGGUAGAGGGGGGGCCAACGAGUGUUUCCCUAGGAGGUUGUUUAACGUGGUUCGCCGAAAAAACCGACGGAAAACCAUUAGAAAUGGCUACCCGAACUGGGUCGGGUCACACACGAAAAUGGGGGAUCUGAUUCCCUCAUUCUCUCCUCACUCCUUUCCCCUUCUUGAUCUCCUCCCCCAUUGGUCACUCCCCCCUCCUUUUCAGAAACUUCUAACGUCCAUAACGUCUCCUUUCUCGUCCCAAUUCAUGAACAGCCUUCGCCUAUCCGCUCGUGGGGUCGACCUCAAUUAGAAAACAUUAAGAGUGAUCCAAAAGUCUACGGAUUUUAAAGGAUUAUUUUCAAAAAUUAAAACUUUGUAAUUAAGUAAUUAAAAUAUAAAAUUAAUUUAAAUUCGCAAAAAUACUAUAAAAUCCUGCGAAUACAAAAUACGUAAAUUACAAUAGUGAAAUUCCAAAUGUCACAUUACCUCGGAUGUCCUCGUUGUUAAUCCAAUCAUUUUGACACCCCAACCCCAAUAACACAAGUUACGAGGUCGAGAUAUCUUGGCCGUCACUAAAUUGACCAUAUGGCCCCAUUGAGGGAUGACUUCACAAGCCAACUUAAUAACGAAGCCAUAGUAAGAUAAUUACGAUGUGAGUGAAUUUGAAUCAAAACAUUCAUUAAAAAUAAAUCAAAAGUUGCUACAAAUUUUCCUAAUCAACCUUCCCACUUGGGAACAUAUAUUUAGGGUUUAGAUCCCAUUAUUACAUCACAUCAGAGCAGCUAGAAGUUUUAUACAACAGUAAAUACAUAAAAGUGUAGUGCUAUGCAUAAUCAAGAGUGUGAUCAUGCAAAUAUUACUGACAAAAUAAAUAUACAGUAGAGGAAUCAUCACCUAAAAUCCAAAGGAUGAUACCUCAUUGCCAAGCCCACUUGCCACCACUGAGGUUCUCAAUUCUUGCUAUGUCCUGAGGAGUCAAUAAACAAAGUAUGAGUGGAUCAAGUUCUAUCUCAUCAAAAUAAAUCGAAUAACCUCCGUUUUGAAAUCACCUAUUGUAGAAUUAUCAAAAAGACGGGCUUAGGGCCCACAUCCAACAAUAUUGAUAUAGUCCCAACUUGGUAAUUACUACCCGCACAAUCCGUCAGGUGUGAGGUUUUAUUACAAAAUGCCUCUCGGUGUUAGAUAGAGUGAAGAUAGGAUAUUUAAACUCUUCUGUACUUAGAGAUAUGGUUGAUGUGGGAUAUUUCAAUACCUAUAUAUAUAUAUAUAUAUAUAGUAAAAACUACAUACAUAAUAAUACUACCAUAAUAGUUGUCACAAUCAAUUCAUCUCGCACGUCAUAUCAAAGAAAGUAAGUCAUUCAUAAAAUCAAAGUAAUAGAAUAUGAUUUUAUCAAUAUCGUAGAUGAUUCUUAUAAUCAUGUAUACGCACGUUGGUGCGACUUCGAUUCCAAUGAUCUCUCUACUAAAUAUAUUUAUUUCAUAAACGCUAUAAUUUGUAUAUAUAAUAAAUGAUUUGAUCAUAUUAAUUCUGCAUAGUCCCCUCAAGUUGGAUAGUAAAUGUCAUAAUUAAGGCUUUUUAGUCAAAAUGGAGUCCUUGAGAUUUGCCUAACUCAUCACCUUGGUCCCUGAGAUUCAAAAUCAAUAGAAGUGAUCCAUGAGAUAGUCCACCAUCAAUCAUUUUGGUCCUUCAGUGAAAAAUUGUGUUAAAUAAGAAUUAAAAUGACAAAAUUACCCUCAAUGUAAUAAACAAUAGGCCAACAUGAUUUGACAAAAUUGAGGGUAUUUUUAAUAUUUUAUCCUUAUUUUAUGGAGAUUUUUCACUGAAUGAUGAAAAUGAUUGAUUGUGGACAAACUCAAGUACCAAUUCUAUCAAUUUCAAAUCUCAAGGACCAAAGCAAGGAGUUAUGCAAAUCUCAAUAACCAUUUUAACUAAAAAAUUAUUAUUCCUAAUUUCCUAAAGCCCUUGGGAAGGUAUCUGCCAAUUGUACCCGAGAAGAAGUGCAGCAAGGAAAAAUUUAUAAAGACAAUGGAUACAUGCCACUUCGCUGCAAAAAACGAUACUUAAAGGACAAUUUUCCCGAGUUUUUCACCGCCGUUUUUACCGUUUGCUGCAAAAAACAAAUACUCUCCCCUUGCGAGCUCCGUCGUCAAUUCCCUUCACGAACUUUGAGUCCCUCUGAAAAAAUGAUUACCUGAAAUUUGAAUUUUUCAAACUUUGUGUCUGGUUAUAUCUAACGAUCCCUAAUUCUAAAUUUAUGGUUUAGAUAUAUAAAAAAGAUAUCUCGGGUACUUCAUUGCUAUCCAUUAAGCUCCCCACUUUCAAGCAAAGCAAAAAAUUCUAAUUGAGUUGAGUUUUGAACAUGCUGAUUAGUUAGACAACUGAAUUACUAAUCUUUAUUAUUAUUGCAACAAACACACGGAUUACACUAAAAGCUAGUGAAUCAUACACUUGCAGAUGACUUAUCCAAACACAAAGAUAAGACAUGAUUUUAUUAUUAUUGCUAUAAACACACGGAUUACAGCGAAAUUCAAAAACUAAAAACAAGGAAAAAAGUAGUGAUGAAAACCAAUGCCACUUCCGGGAACACGAUUGCAUUCGCACAUGCAACAAGCCUUUUAAACCCAUAGGUGACCCAAAUGGGACGAGUGAAGUCUCGUGAGGGUUUCCAGAGACGUUACCCACAAACAUCAUGCAUACGGAUCAUCAACAUCUGACUUGGGAGACUGAGUAGAUAUCCACCCCUCCAGCAUCAGGUUGUUUUGGUUGAGGCGUAAUUCGAAUCUGUUUUCAAUGAACGGCCUGGUUAUGAGAUCGCUUUGCAAGUGACGUAAUCGGCAGCGCGUGAUUAGGUUGUUGCUGUCAGGUGGUCCGACAGGCUCGACCUUGAACAAUGUGCAAGCCCAAUUGUCUUUGGUUUCAUUUCGGUCAGCAGCUGCGGCCAGGACCAAUAGCCUGUUUUGGUCCACCCUUCUCAAGUAGUUGCCAUUGUAGGAGCAUUUGAUAUGCACGUAAUUCUUGUCGGCGUAGUCCUCAUUGUUUGGCUUCUCGGUGGUGAACUUUAUGAACCUGCUGUUUUCAUUGUCCUCGGAAAACUGGACAAUCUCAUUAAGGUCGCUUUCUGCAUCAAGUUGAUAGCGCAAAUACUUGUUGUUGAUAUCUGCUUUCAGCAGAAAAGGGCUUGGUAGUACAGGUGGUGGAGCCAUAUCGUAUAGUGUAGUUGGGAUUGGGAUGCUCUCUCUUUUUUAUUCUCUGUUGAUGAUCUAAUUUGCUUGCUGUGAAUGUGAUGCUUAGUUUAAACCUGCUAUCCUAUUUAUAAGAAAUUAAGCACAAGCUAGCUCAAGUUAUGGUCUUUAAUUAAUAUUAAUUUCGACAAAUCAGUUUCCCAUCUCUUUCAUUGAUAUGAACAUGGCUGAUCUCAUUGAUGUGGCGCAAUAUUUGUUAAAUUAGCCGUUCGGGUUGAUUUCUUUGUACAACUCAUCUGCCAAUUCUACAACUUGUAGACCUAAUUCCCAGUACAAAAUUAAAAAAAAAUUAAAAUCCAAAACUAAUAUAAGAUAAAUAAAGACUUUUUAUAUCAUAAAAUAAGACUUUCUAACUUGUAUACAAGACAAUAGUGACAAGAUCAAACACAUUGAUGGGUGCGCAUUUUCCAUCAACAUCUGUUCUGUGUGUUUAAACUGACCGUGGAGUCUUUUUAGCAAUUAAAAGUUUUGUAUCAUGUAAUUGUCUUGGUUUGAUAAGACCUACAUCUAGAUGAGAUGCUUCUGAAGACUAAUGUAAAACUUUAUGUUGAUAUUUCUUGAGGGUGAAACAUCGUUUGAGAAACGUGUUGGGCCUCAUUACAAUUUUUUCAUUUAGUUUUUAACUUUUGGUUUAAAUAUUCUACUAUGAAUAAAUUUGUGGCUUUAAUAACUAGUAAAACCACUUUCAAAUAUCUUAGUAUCGGCUUUCAGAACAAAGGGGUUUGGUAGUACAGGUGGAGCCAUAUUGUAUAGUGUAGCUGGGAUUGGGAUGAUCUCUCUCUCUUUUUUGUUUUUUUUUUCCCUUUAAUUUGCUUGCUUUGAAUGUGAUGCUCAGUUCAAACCUACUAUCCUAUUUCUAAGAAAUUAAGCACAAGCUAUCUCAAGUUAUGGACUUUAAUUAAUAUUAAUUUCCUCAAUCAGUUUCCCAUAUCUUUCAUUGAUACGAACAUGGCUGAUCUCAUUGGUGUGACGCAAGAUUUGUUAAAAUAGCGAUCGGAUUGAUUUUUCUUUGUAUAACUCUUCUGCCAAUUCUGAACUUGUACAUAUAAUUCCCAUUAUAAAAUAAAUAAAUAAAAUUCAAAACUCAUAUAAAAUAAAUAGAGACUUUUUAUAGCAUAUAAAAUAAGACUUUGUAACUUGUACAUAGUUAUUGAUAACAUUCAUCUAAGAACUAACAGAUGAAUGUAUGCAAGCAAUAUUGAAGAAAUACAGAGAGAAAGAUCGAAAGGAAUAGAGAGAGAAAUAGAGAAAGAAAUGAGUGAAAGCUUUGUUAUUUCAUAAGAACAAAAGAUCAUCACAAAAGAACCCUGAUUCCUUCUUAUAUAGUCUGCCCAUGUAGCUUAUCAGCUAAGCCACCUGUGUAACUAAUUCUUAACAAACUAACUAACUCCAAUAGCUGAUAUGGCACUUAUGAUGAUGUGUCAAUCACUAUAUAUCUUCAACAUCCCCCCGCAAUCUCAACUGGGAUUUUCUAGCUUGAGAUUGUAAAAAUGUUAGACAAAUGAAGGACUGUGAAGACCUUUGGUAAGAACAUCGGCAGUUUGCUCCUCAGUUGGGAUAUACAACACCUCCAAAUCGCCUUCAUGCACCCGUUCUCGUACAAAAUGGUAGUAUGUAUUAAGGUGUUUAAUUCUUGAAUGAAACACCAUAUUAGCACUGAUCGGAUCAUAUUUAUAUAUAUUUUUACUUCGAAUUCACUCGUCUUUUCUUAGUUAGUUCCUUAUAUUUUUGAGCUAUUUACGUUAUUUUUGUGUUUAUAGGAUUUGUUAUGCAAAGAAAAUAAAAAUAGAACAAAUGAAAUUUUAUGUAAUAAAUUCGUCAAAACUGUCUGUGUAGAUCAUCUUUUAAAUAAAAUUAAUAAAAAUAAUAAUAAUGGUAAGUCAUGAUGAUGUUUGAAACAUCAUCAUGAUUCAUGUUUUGUAGAAGAAGAAAGGAACGGCAAAGAAGGAGAAAAUAAAGAAUAAAAGGAGGGAGAGCGUCGGUGGAAAAGAAAAAGGAAUAAAAAGCUGCCUUUACCAACAGAGAGAGUGGGGAGGGCAGAAAGAAAAACACGGCAUAAAGAAUAAGAAUAAGAGGAAGUGAACAGCAGUGCGAAGAAGAAAGGAAGAAUAAGAAAAUAAAGAUAAGAGGCAGAGCGGAAGAGAGAGGAGGGGGGAGAUAAGUCAGAGGGACGCGGAACGAAGAGAGGAAAGCAGCAAAGCUGCCAGCGGAAAGAAAAGGUUGCCCUUGCAGCCUUGAAAAAAAAAGCAAAAAAUAAAGGAGAGGUCAGGAGGGGAGAGAGGUUAGAGUGCGAAAACAGAGAGAGAGAAGGCGGGAGCAGCGCAGCAGAGCACAGCAGCAGGUGCAGGGAAGUCAGGAGCUAGGCAGAUCUUCUUUUCUUGGUUUUAUCUUCUCAAACCCAUGUUUUACUUUUGGUUUAAUUUGAUAAUAAUGUGUAACUAAAUUUAUUUUGGCUAGAGGUUAAUUCAAAGCCAUGAAUAUAUUUGUAAUAUGAAUUGAUUACCUUCAGUUGUGAUUUCUGAGUUGUGAUUUAAUUUGCUUAACUGCUUGAUUGAUAACUUAUUUUUGUAUGUCGAUUAAGAAUGCAUACUUAAUUUACAUGCAUGAAUUUGAUGCUAGAAUAUAAGUGAAUUUCACCUAAUCGUUAUGAACUUAUAUUCACAAGUAGUGAAGGUUGUUAUCCACAAUCGUGUUAAGUGAAUUCUAGGCUGGAUUAACAUGCGUAUUCCAUAGUUAUGAAUGCCUAGUCAAUGUUUAUGAUUUCCGUUGAACUUAAUGAUCUUUGUUGAAUGUCUCUAUCAUGCGUAUUCCAUAGUUAGGGACUUUGAUGAGGAAUAAUUUGGUUGUAAUGCGUAUUCCAUUCAAUCCAAUGAAUCUAGGGAAAUCUAAGAGUUAAUUUAAGCGGACCUAAUUAACUUGGAACAUUGUCAUUCACAAUUUAUUGAAAGAACAACUGAAAAUCAAUUUAGGUUGCAUAUGUGUCAUGUGUGGAGAAGAACCCUCUAGCUAGUCCGUCACCUAUCCUUUCACCUUAAUUUCAUGCUUUUGUCAACUCUGUAAUUUAUUUAAGUUUAAUUUACUUCUCGUCAAAACCAAACCCCCCCAUUAUUAAAUUAUAUUAUUUAGUUAAUUUUCAUUGUUGUUAGUCAUUUAAUUCAAUUUCCGUCCAUUUCAGUUUCUAGUGUCUAAUUUGAUUGUUUUCAUUAUUUUGAGUCAUUCUAAGUGUGUUUCGAGUUAUUAGAGUUUUUAGCCUAGUUUUGUGUCCUUGAGUCUUGUUUAAUAUUUUUAAAUUAAUUUAGAAUAGAUUAGCAAUCCCUCCUAAUCCCCGGCCUAGAACGAUACCCUACUUACAUCUAUAAUACAAUUGUCAAAAAGAGGGUUUAAUUGGUGUGUCAAGUAAUUUUCACAUCAAGCACUUAAGGCAAUAGCAGACAUAUUGUCACAGUGAAUCGUUGGUGGAGCAUCCAAAAAUACACUCAAAUCCUUCAAUAUAUUUCGAAUCCAAGCUAUAUCUACGGCAGUAUGUGCUAAGGCUUUAUAUUCAGCCUCAGUAGAACUCCUGGAUAUCGAGUUUUGUUUCUUCGAUUGCCAAGAAAUUGGAUUACUACCCAAGUACACGACAUAACCAGUGAUAGACCGACGAGUAUUCAAGUCUGUAGCCCAAUAAGAAUCAGAAAAUGCAGUAAGCUUUGAAACUGUGUUUGCAGAAAAAGCAAUACCAAUGUUCAUGGUUUCUUGAAGAUAACGAAUGAUUCAUUUAACAACGCCAAAAUGAACAUCAGUUGGUGAGGACAUCAACUGACAUACUGUGUUUACAGCAAAGGCAAUAUCAGGCCUAGUAAAGGUCAUAUAUUGUAAAGAUCCCACAAUACUUAUGUAAGGUUGGAUCUGUCAAUAAUUGUCCCUCAGAGUGUAACAUUUGAUGAUGAGGUUUACAAGGAGUGGUUGCUGGUUUACAUGAUUCCAUACCUGCUUUAUGGACGAGAUCUUUGAUAUACUUAGACUGAUUAACAAAAACACUGCCAUUUGCUUUAUAUUGAACUUGUAAACCCAAAAAAUAUGUAAGUUGUCCCAUAUCCUUUAACUCGAAUACCUCAGAUAAUUAUUGAAUCACUUUUUGGAUCUUCAAAGGAUUAGAACCAGUUAAGAUGAUAUCAUGAACAUAAAGUAAUAAGAUAAUGAUAUCAGAGUCAUCCUUCUUGACAAACAAACUUGUAUCAGAAGUUGAUGCAUGAAACUCCAUAACUGUCAAAUAACUUGUAAACUUUGAAUUCCACACUCGUGGAGCCUGUUUCAAGCCAUAUGAUGUAUCAAUAAAUCCUUGUGGUUGCUGCAUAUAAACUUCUUUUUGUAAAUCUCCGUGUAGAAAAGCGUUCUUGAUAUCUAAUUGGCGAAGAGGCCAAUGAUUCAUUGCAGCUAAAGAAAGAAUAAUCCUUAUAGUAGUAUGUCCGACAACAGGACUAAAUGUGUCCAAGUAGUCAAUACCAUGUUCUUGGGAGAACCCUUGAGCUACAAGCCUUGCUUUAUACCUGGAGACACUGCCAUCAAAGUUUUUCUUCACUUUGUAUUCCCAUUUGUUUCCUACAAUUGUUCUGUCUUCAGGUGCAGGAACCAAUAGCCAAGUUCCUUGUGCUCGAAGUGAAUCAUAUUUCUCCUGCAUUGCCUUUUGCCACUGUGAAAUAGUAGGAGCUUUCCGAAAUGUCUUAGGUUCUGAAGCAUCAGUGAUCUCAGAAAGAAAGGAAUAGCCACCCGUGAAAGGUUCUUCAUCAGUGAUUUGGAGACAACAAAGCUCAGGACAUUGUGCUACUAAAGCAGCAUAAUUUUGUCCCUCAAUUGUUCCACUCUUCAAUCUAGGGACCAUUGAGUGAGUCAAUGGUGUAGUAUGUAAAAUGAGAUCAAAUAGAGAUAAAUCAGGAAGGAUUACCUCAAGUUGUGACUCAGAGUGGACAAGCAACAAGGAUUGUGUACCAGAGUGAUGAUGUGUAAGAGAGUGAUGAUGUGAAGAGCUUGGAGAUGCAUAUAGAAGAUUGGUUUCAGUCGAAUUUGUAUCUUGAUCACUAGGUUGAAUCACCUGUGUAUUGUCCGAACUAGAAAUAUUCAAUUAACCAACCACAUUUAUACUUUCACAAUUUGCAGGAAUACUGUGAUGUGAACCAGUAUCAUUUGCUGAUAUAUGUAUAGAACUAGCUGCUUGUGAAUCAUGCUGUAUUUAUGUAUGAGGCAGGACUCUUGCACUUGGAACUUGUAACUGAAUCAAAACAGGUGUCUGAGAACACCUAUAUGUAGCUGUAGAAUCCUUAGAUGGCAAAACUUGUUUAAACGGAUAUACAUCUUCAUCAUGUAGUACAUGCCCUGACAGAAUGAACUUUCUAGUCUUGAUAUCAUAACAAAUAACUCCUUUAUAUCCAUGAGCAAAACCAAGAAAUACACAUUGAGCUGACUGUAGCUCCAAUUUAUUCUUAUUGAAUGAUCUUAUCAAGAUAGAGCAGCCAUAAGAAACUCUUAACUUUGGAGGAAUAUGAAGUUUCCAAAUAAGAUUCCAUCGCCGGAAAAGCACAAGGCCUAAUGGCCCAAAAAUAAGCAGAUUUAACUGAAAAAUUACCAUCAUUUAUUCCACUUCAGAUACACUUGGCAGUCAAAGCAUCAAAACUAAUUGGAAUGCUAAGAAUUUGUUCAACCACCUCUUUAGUAAAACAAGUAAUAGUGGAUCCAAACCAUUAUUGUAACAAUAGUUAGCUACAGUAGCCUUAUAUGUAUUGUCGGCGUUACCACACAAUCCCGAUAUACGUCCAGGAUCGACAUGUGAUCUCAUCAAAUACUCAUAUCUCUAACUUACCCCACCUCCGGAAUAUGGCAAAGUGAUGAGUCAAUAUUUACCAUAUAUUUUACCCUAAUCUUAGUAUUAAUUUAUUAGUUAUUUUGGUAGAAUUUUGAUACUUUGUUAUAUAUUUCUAAUAUAGGACAUUCGACUUCAUCUGGAGAAAAAAGUAACCAAACGGAUGAUUUUUGGAGUGAUUCCAAUUGGAGGAUGUUUGUGAGUCUUCGAGAUGAUUAUAUCAAAAUUCCAAAUUUUUCUACCAAGUCGUUUGACCGUGGCAAUGAAAUUAAGGCCCUGCGCGCAGCUUUCUCAGAUUGACAUUUCGGGACAUUUUGCGUAUUUUGAAAGUCAAGAUGUAAUAUUUUGAGGAAGAUUUCUUCUGAGGAUUUGUAUGGGACGUCUCCAUCUUUCAAAAGAGACAUUUUGGGACCAAAUCGGAGUUGAUUUGGUUGGUCAGAAGUCUGAUUUUCUGAGAUCUCCGAAUUCUAGUUCAAAUAGGAAACCUUUUAUUUUCUGUUUUAUUAUUUUAUUAUGUUUCAUAGUUUUAUUGUAAGACCUUUUAGGGUUUUAUUUUGUAUUAGUAUAAAUAAGAUAUUUAGCCAUUAGGGGAAAAGGGGAGGAGAGAAUAGGAGGAGAAUGCACACAAUACUUUGGAGGAUUCAAGUUUAUUUUCAAGGUGUUUUCUAUCCAUGUUCUUAAUAAUAUUUUGUUUUAUAGUUGAUAGUAACUAGUUUCGUUUGCUAGAUCGAGGCCAUGACCCUUAGCAAGAAUACGUAGUUUCUUUUCAAUCUGCUUAUGAUAUUAUGCAUGCAAGUUUUGAAUUAUUAAUCAUCGUGCUUUAAACUAUCUAAUUGUGUUGAUGAUUGGCCGCCAUUAGGAUAUUUAGAAAAGUAAUUUGAUGCAAUUUUGGCGGAGGGCUGUCCCUAGAAUUGGUGCUGGCUUCUUGUGGUUAAUAUGUGUAACUUCUUAGGAUGGAUGACAUGUCUUAAGGGUUAUAUGGUUUUUCAAAAGGAUUUCACAAAACUUUAUGAGUCUUGCAUGUUAACUUUUGAUCUGGACACCACAGACAGGUUGCAUGUUAGAUAUAGGUUCUAUGUUGGAGGUUCCAAGUAAGGCAUACAUUAGGAAAACCUAACCAUCAAAAUAUGCAUUUGUAAUUCAUAAGUAAUUGGAAGAACUACGUAGGAUUGUUAAGGUGAUGGUGAAACCCUAGUGCUUAAAUUUAUUUUCAAAACUAUUUUCUUUGGUUUUCUUUACUUUCCCAAUUUAUAGUGGAUCCAAACCAUUAUUGUAACAAUACUUAGCUACAGUAGCGUUAAGCAUAUUAUCGGUGUCAUGCCCCGAUCCCGACAUACGUCUAGGAUCGACACGUGAUGUCACCAAAUACCCACAUCUCUAACUUACCCUGCCUCUAUGGCAAAGUGAUGAGUCAAUAUUUUACCAUAUAUUUUACCCUAAUCUUAGUAUUAAUUUGUUGGUUAUUUUGGAAGAAUUUUUAUACUUUGUUAUAUAUUUCUAAUGUAGGAUAUUCUACAUCCUCGGGAGAAAAAAGUAACCAAACAGAUGAAUUUUGGAGUGAUUCCAAUUAGAGAAUGUUCGUGAGUCUUUCAAGCUGAUUGUAUCAUAAUUCCAGAUUUUACUAUCAAGCUGUUUGACCGUGGCGAUGAAAUUAAGGCCCAGCACGCAACUUUCCCAUAUUGACGUUUCUGGACGUUUUGGGUAUUUUGAAGGUCAAGAUGUUAUGUUUGGAAGAAGAUUCCUUCUGAUGAUUUGUAUGGGACGUCUCCAGCUUUCAAAAGAGACCUUUUGGGAUGAAAUUGAAGUUGAUUUGUUUGGUCAAAAGUCUGAUUGUCUGAUAACUCCGAAUUCUAGUUCAAAUAGGAAACCUUUUAUUUUCUGUUUUAUUAUUUUAUUAUGUUUCCUAGUUUUAUUCUAAGACCUUUUAGGGUUUUAUUUUGUAUUAGUAUAAAUAAGAUGUUUAGCCAUUAGGGUAAAAGAGGAGGAGAGAAUAAGAGGAGAACACACAUAGUACUUUGGAGGAUUCAAGUUUAUUUUCAAGGUGUUUUCUAUCCAUGUUCUUAAUAAUAUUUUGUAUUAUGGUUGUUAGUAACUAGUUUCGUUUGCUAGGGCGAGGCCACGAGCCUUAGUGAGAAUAUGUAGUUUCUUUUCAAUUUGCUUAUGAUAUAUAUUAUGCAUGCAAGUUUUGAAUUAUUAAUCACUGUGCUUUAAACUAUAUAAUUGUCUUGAUGAUUGGCCACCAUUAGGAUAUUUAAAAAAGUAAUUUGAUGCAAUUUUGGUGGUGGGCUGUCCCUGGAAUUGGUGCUGGCUUCUUGUGGUUAAUAUGUGUAACUUCUUAGGAUGGACGACACGUCUUAAGGGUUAUAUGGUUGUUCAAAAGGAUUUCAUAAAACUUAAUGAGUCUUGCAUGUUCACAUUCGAUCUGGACACCACAGACAGGUUGCAUGUUAGAUAUACGUUCAAUGUUGGAGGUUCCAAGUAGGGCAUACUUUAGGAAAACCAAACCUUCAAAAUAUGCAUGUGUAAUUCAUAAGUAAUUGGAAGAACUACGUAGGAUUGUUAAGGUAACGGUGAAACCCUAGUGCUUAAAUUUAUUUUCAAAAACUAUUUUCUUUGGUUUUCUUUACUCUCCCAAUUUAUUUAAUUGUUUUCAGUUAAAUUCGUUUUUAAUAUUUUAGGUUAUAAAACCAACCUCUUCUAGACUUUAUUUUCAAAUAAUUAAUUAAGAUUUGGUUUUAACAUAAAUUAUGGCUUUUUUUAUUAGCACCCCACAAAAUGUUGAAUGCACCCCACAUUAAAAUUUAAUAUUAAAUGACUUAUUUACCCCACUAUGCAAUGACAAUUUUGACCUUAUUAGGUUUUAAAAAAAUAAAAUAAAAAUAUCUAAAUACACCCCAAAUCAAUGUUUUAGAACCUUCACAUGAGGUAAGACUAUGUUUCAUCGGUGGUUUGGUUAAUUUCAUAUUGCUUUUUUUUUUUUCUUCCGUUGGUUAUUCAUUUUCUUCUUUGCAGGUUACAAAUCCAGCCAGUGGUCCUCCUAGAGAAGGUUUGGUUAUAUCCCUUGAAAUGAACAAUGGAAAGCGACAAAAUAUUUUGGAGGUUAGACCAGAAAAUGCAUCGCAGGUUUGUUGGCAUGUACCACUCUGCCUAUUGAUAUUGAGUUGUAUGGUUCUUAACAAAUAAUUGAGGUGUAUGAUUCUUAGUAAAUAAAUGAGGAUUUGAUAAUAUUUUUUGGUGUAUUUAAAUAGGAUAGCAUACAAGGCAAUACCUCUAUAGGGGACAGUGAGGUUGCAACAACGAGCGUCGUUGAUUACACAAACGCAUUUAAAACAGACGAGGUAACUAUUUUUAGUAUAUUGAAUGUGCAUCUGUGAAUUUCAUGGAAACUCUUGCAUUCUUUUAUGCAACAUAGUGCAUUAGGUUCAUAAUAGGGACUAACAUAUGGGUUGGAAUCUUAGCAUGUCUACAAACAUUUUGUUAGUGGCAAAUGUCAAUGAUCUUGUAUGUACAGGUGUUCAAAAGUAAAAAUGAUUUCCUUGAUUGGACUCGCGCACAAGGAAAAAAGAAUAAUAUGGUUAUUGUCAUUAAGAGGUCUGAUGCGGGAAGGGUUGACCGAAUGAGGAAGAGAGCUCGAAUAACAUUUGCUUGUGAGAGACAUGGCGAGUAUCGAUCCAUAUUGAGGAAGUCUGAUAUUAAUGACCAAAAUUCUGAUGCAAAUAAUAAGAAGAAGAAAGAACCCAGGAAUACUGGUAUUAAAAAAUACGGAUGUCCAUUUAUGUUGAAAGGAGUCAACGUUGGAGAAGGAGAUGAAUGGAAAUUGGAGGUUGAGUGUGGGGUGCAUAACCAUACUUAUUCACAGUAUCUUGAAGGGCAUUCUUUUGUCGGACGAUUAACUAAAGAGCAAAAUGAACUUUUAGUUGACAUGUCUACAAGUUUAGUGAGACCCAAAGUUAUUUUGAACACCAUAAAGACAAAAGAUCCACUUAAUGUAACAACGAUGAGGACAAUAUACAAUGCAAGACACUAUCAUCGGACAAAAGAAAACGCAGGGAAAUCAGAAAUGCAACAGUUGUUAUGUAAGUUGGCUGAGUACAACUAUAUUGAGCAUCAUCAAAGUAUUGGUAUUGAUAAUGUUGUUAGUGACUUGUUUUGGACUCAACCAAUUAAUGUCGAUAUCUUACAUUGUUUCGCACAUGUACUUAUCAUGGAUUGCACGUACAAGACUAAUAGGCAUCGUUUCCACUCCUGGAGAUUGUAAGGGUAACUUCAACUAAUAUUACAUUGUCGGUUGCAUUUGCUUUCAUUGACCAUGAGAAGGAAGACAAUUACACAUGCGCAUUGACAAGAUUGAAGACUCUAAUGAAUGAUGAUUGUAUUCCUGGUGUGAUUGUCACUAGGGGUGGGUUCGGUUUAAAUCGGUUCGGUUUUUUGCCAAAACCGAAACCAAACCAAAAUUUCGGUUCGGUUCAAUUUUUUUUCUGUUUUUUUCGGUUCGGUUUUUUCCGGUUCGGUUUCGGUUCGGUUUUGGUUUUUUGUUUUUAUUUUUUUUCAAAGAAUGAAAAACAUUGAAAUUUUAAAUUUUAACAUAUCCAACACAAUCAUAACAUAAACAUUCUAACUAGAAUCAAAGACAAUGAAAAUAAACAUUUAAAGUUGAACUAAAAUCAUCAAUCAAGUCUUUCAAAGUCCAAACUAACAACCUCACAACACAAAAAUCACACAAAAAUCGUACAAAUGACUUAGAAAAGUUAAAUUGUAUGAUGUUGUUCAAAGAUCAGUGUUGUUUGCUUGUAACUGCAUGUUGACAACUUGAUUAGUAAAGGUAAUACGUGGGUGGAUUUAUUUAGUGUGUGUUGGAUUCUUUUCCAUCACAAAUUACCCAAGUAAUCUACCCGAAAUAAAUGUUUAUGGAUUAUGUUACAUGUUAUAUGAGAGUAGAUUUGGAAAAGAAAGCUGGCGUAGAAGUAGACAGUGCUAUGGAGAUGGAUGUAGGUACUUCGGGAAGAGGUUUGGUUCCGGAACCUUAUAUGGGGGAGAAAUAAUAGGUUAGGGUUUAGAGUUUUUAUAGGCCUUUUUUUUAAUAUUUUGAGCUUAAAGUUUGGCAACACAUUGGGUUAGCACAUUUUAACUUACAAAUUGGGUUUAGAAAAUAAUACCCAAAACAAAUAAUUAAAUAAAAAAUUUAAUUUAAUUAAUUCGGUUCGGUUCGGUUCGGUUUGGUUCGGUUUCUAGAUCACUAAAACUGAACCGAACCAAAAGAAUUCGGUUCGGUUCGGUUUUUUCAAUUCGGUUCGGUUUUUUUGUUCGGUUCGGUUUUUUCGGUUUCGGUUCGGUUUGGUUUUCGGUUUUUUUCGGUUUUCGGUUUUUUGAACCCACCCCUAAUUGUCACUGAUCGAGACUUAGCAAACUAAACUGAAAUAUAUUGAUUGCAAGGCAAGAGUACAAUUGUAAAAACAAGGUUUACUUUUUAAUGGAGGUUGUGUAGGAAAAAUUACAUUCAAAUUCAUUGCGGACCUCUUUUUUUUCUAAGACCAAAUCAAAGAAAAAAAUAAUUGAAUCAAUGAAUUACUAUAGCAGCUCCAUUUCUGACAAUGGCAAGAGGUCUCUGUGCUAAUCAAACUACCCCGAAAUUUUAUCCUAAAACUAUACUCGAGCUCCACCUUAUCUGCAAUCUCAAAUGCCUUCUCAAUAUCAUUUCAUGAUAAACCUGCUAUCCCUAUUUAUAAGAAAUUAAGCACAAGCUAGCUCAAGUUAUGGUCUUUAAUUAAUAUUAAUUUCGACAAAUCAGCUUCCCAUCUCUUUCAUUCAUAUGAACAUGGCGCAAUAUUUGUUUAAAUUAGCUGUUCGGGUUGAUUUCUUUGUAUAACUCUUCUGCCAAUUCUGCAACUUGUAGACGUAAUUCCCAUUUCAAAAUUUUAAAAAAUAAAAUAAAAUCCAAAACUAAUGUAAGAUAAAUAAAGACUUUUUUAUAUCAUAAAAUAAGACUUUCAAACUUGUAUACAAGACUAUAGUGACAAAAUCAAACACAUUGAUGGGUGCGCAUGUUCCUUCAACAUCUGUUAUGUGCGUUUAAACUGAGCGUCGAGUCUUUUUUAAGCACCUUUAAAAGUUUAACAAACUAACUAACUCCAAUAGCUGAUAUGGCACUUAUGAUGAUGUGUCAAUCACUAUAUAUCUUCAACAUCCCCCCGCAAUCUCAACUGGGAUUUUCCAGCUUGAGAUUGUAAAAAUGUUUGACAAAUGAAAGACUGUGAAGACCUUUGGUAAGAACAUCGGGAGUUUGCUCCUCAGUUGGGAUAUACAACACCUCCAAAUCGCCUUGCUGCACUCGUUCUCAGUUUAUAUCAAGGUGUUUAAUUCUGAAAUGAAACACCAGAUUGGCACUUAAGGCAAUAGCAGACAUAUUCUUACAGUGAAUCGUUGGUGGAGCAUCCAAAAAUACACCCAAAUCCUUCAAUAUAUUUCGAAUUCAAGCUAUAUGUGCCGCAGUAUGUGCUAAGGCUUUAUAUUCAGCCUCAGUAGAACUCCUGGAUACCGAGUUUUCUUUCUUCGAUUGCCAAGAAAUUGGAUUAUUGCCUACGUACACGACAUAACUAGUGAUAGACCGACGAGUAUUCAAGUAUGCAGCCCAAUCAGAAUCAGAAAACGCAGUAAGCUUUGAAACUGUGUUUGCAGAAAAAGUAAUACCAAUGUUCAUGGUUCCUUGAAGAUAACGAAUGAUUCGUUUAACAAUGCCAAAAUGAACAUCAGUUGGUGAGGACAUAAACUGACAUACUGUGUUUACAGCAAAGGCAAUAUCAGGCCUAGUAAAGGUUAGAUAUUGUAAAGAUCCCACAAUGCUUCUGUAGGAGGUUGGAUCUGUCAAUAAUUGUCCCUUAGAGUGUAACAUUUGAUGAUGAGGUUUACAAGGAGUGGUUGCUGGUUUACAUGAUUCCAUACCUGCUUUAUGGACGAGAUCUUUGAUACACUUAGACUGAUUAACAAAAACACUGCCAUCUGCUUUAUAUUGAACUUAUAAACGCAAAAAAUAUGUAAGUUGUCCCAUAUCCUUUAACUCGAAUACCUCAGAUAAUUAUUGAAUCACUUUUUGGAUCUUCAAGGAUUAUAACCAGUUAAGAUGAUAUCAUCAACAUAAAGUAAUAAGAUGAUGAUAUCAGAGCCAUCCUUCUUGACAAACAAACUUGUAUCAGAAGCUGAUGCAUGAAACUCCAUAACUGUCAAAUGACCAUAUACAUAAUAACUGUCAAAUAACUAUAUACAUAAUAACUCCAUAGAGUGAAGAUAGGAUAUUUAAACUCUUCUGUACUUAGAGAUAUGGUUGAUGUGGGAUAUUUCAAUACCUAUAUAUAUAUAUAUAUAUAUAUAUAUAUAGUAAAAACUACAUACAUAAUAAUACUACCAUAAUAGUUGUCACAAUCAAUUCAUCUCGCACGUCAUAUCAAAGAAAGUAAGUCAUUCAUAAAAUCAAAGUAAUAGAAUAUGAUUUUAUCAAUAUCGUAGAUGAUUCUUAUAAUCAUGUAUAUGCACGUUGGUGCGACUUAGAUUCCAAUGAUCUCUCUACUAAAUAUAUUUAUUUCAUAAACGCUAUAAUUUGUAUACAUAAUAAAUGAUUUGAUCAUAUUAAUUCUGCAUAGUCCCCUCAAGUUGGAUAGUAAAUGUCAUAAUUAAGGCUUUUUAGUCAAAAUGGAGUCCUUGAGAUUUGCCUAACUCAUUACCUUGGUCCCUGAGAUUCAAAAUCAAUAGAAGUGAUCCAUGAGAUAGUCCACCAUCAAUCAUUUUGGUCCUUCAGUGAAAAAUUGUGUUAAAUAAGAAUUAAAAUGACAAAAUUACCCUCAAUGUAAUAAACAAUAGGCCAACAUGAUUUGACAAAAAUUGAGGGUAUUUUUAAUAUUUUAUCCUUAUUUUAUGGAGAUUUUUCACUGAAUGAUGAAAAUGAUUGAUUGUGAACAAACCCAAGUACCAAUUCUAUCAAUUUCAAAUCUCAAGGACCAAAGCAAGGAGUUAUGCAAAUCUCAAUAACCAUUUUAACUAAAAAAUUAUUAUUCCUAAUUUCCUAAAGCCCUUGGGAAGGUAUCUGCCAAUUGUACCCGAGAAGAAGUGCAGCAAGGAAAAUUUUAUAAAGACAAUGGAUACAUGCCACUUCGCUGCAAAAAACGAUACUUAAAGGACAAUUUUCCCGAGUUUUUCACCGCCGUUUUUACCGUUUGCUGCAAAAAACAAAUACUCUCCCCUUGCGAGCUCCGUCGUCAAUUCCCUUCACGAACUUUGAGUCCCUCUGAAAAAAUGAUUACAUGAAAUUUGAAUUUUUCAAACUUUGUGUCUGGUUAUAUCUAACGAUCCCUAAUUCUAAAUUUAUGGUUUAGAUAUAUAAAAAAGAUAUCUCGGGUACUUCAUUGCUAUCCAUUAAGCUCCCCACUUUCAAGCAAAGCAAAAAAUUCUAAUUGAGUUGAGUUUUGAACAUGCUGAUUAGUUAGACAACUGAAUUACUAAUCUUUAUUAUUAUUGCAACAAACACACGGAUUACACUAAAAGCUAGUGAAUCAUACACUUGCAGAUGACUUAUCCAAACACAAAGAUAAGACAUGAUUUUAUUAUUAUUGCUAUAAACACACGAAUUACAACGAAAUUCAAAAACUAAAAACAAGGAAAAAAGUAGUGAUGAAAACCAAUGCCACUUCCGGGAACACGAUUGCAUUCGCACAUGCAACAAGCCUUUUAAACCCAUAGGUGACCCAAAUGGGACGAGUGAAGUCUCGUGAGGGUUUCCAGAGACGUUACCCACAAACAUCAUGCAUACGGAUCAUCAACAUCUGACUUGGGAGACUGAGUAGAUAUCCACCCCUCCAGCAUCAGGUUGUUUUUGGUUAAGGCGUAAUUCGAAUCUGUUUUCAAUGAACGGCCUGGUUAUGAGAUCGCUUUGCAAGUGACGUAAUCGGCAGCGCGUGAUUAGGUUGUUGCUGUCAGGUGGUCCGACAGGCUCGACCUUGAACAAUGUGCAAGCCCAAUUGUCUUUGGUUUCAUUUCGGUCAGCAGCUGCGGCCAGGACCAAUAGCUUGUUUUGGUCCACCCUUCUCAAGUAGUUGCCAUUGUAGGAGCAUUUGAUAUGCACGUAAUUCUUGUCGGCGUAGUCCUCAUUGUUUGGCUUCUCGGUGGUGAACUUUAUGAACCUGCUGUUUUCAUUGUCCUCGGAAAACUGGACAAUCUCAUUAAGGUCGCUUUCUGCAUCAAGUUGAUAGCGCAAAUACUUGUUGUUGAUAUCUGCUUUCAGCAGAAAAGGGCUUGGUAGUACAGGUGGAGCCAUAUCGUAUAGUGUAGUUGGGAUUGGGAUGCUCUCUCUUUUUAAUUCUCUGUUGAUGAUCUAAUUUGCUUGCUGUGAAUGUGAUGCUUAGUUUAAACCUGCUAUCCUAUUUAUAAGAAAUUAAGCACAAGCUAGCUCAAGUUAUGGUCUUUAAUUAAUAUUAAUUUCGACAAAUCAGUUUCCCAUCUCUUUCAUUGAUAUGAACAUGGCUGAUCUCAUUGGUGUGGCGCAAUAUUUGUUAAAUUAGCCGUUCGGGUUGAUUUCUUUGUACAACUCAUCUGCCAAUUCUACAACUUGUAGACCUAAUUCCCAGUACAAAAUUAAAAAAAAAUUAAAAUCCAAAACUAAUAUAAGAUAAAUAAAGACUUUUUAUAUCAUAAAAUAAGACUUUCUAACUUGUAUACAAGACUAUAGUGACAAGAUCAAACACAUUGAUGGGUGCGCAUUUUCCAUCAACAUCUGUUCUGUGUGUUUAAACUGACCGUGGAGUCUUUUUAGCAAUUAAAAGUUUUGUAUCAUGUAAUUGUCUUGGUUUGAUAAGACCUACAUCUAGAUGAGUUGCUUCUGAAGACUAAUGUAAAACUUUAUGUUGAUAUUUCUUGAGGGUGAAACAUCGUUUGAGAAACGUGUAGGGCCUCAUUACAAUGUUUUCAUUUAGUUUUUAACUUUUGGUUUAAAUAUUCUACUAUGAAUAAAUUUGUGGCUUUAAUAACUAGUAAAACCACUUUCAAAUAUCUUAGUAUCGGCUUUCAGAACAAAGGGGUUUGCUAGUACAGGUGGAGCCAUGUUGUAUAGUGUAGCUGGGAUUGGGAUGAUCUCUCUCUCUUUUUUGUUUUUUGUUUUUCCUUUAAUUUGCUUGCUUUGAAUGUGAUGCUCAGUUCAAACCUACUAUCCUAUUUCUAAGAAAUUAAGCACAAGCUAUCUCAAGUUAUGGACUUUAAUUAAUAUUAAUUUCCUCAAUCAGUUUCCCAUAUCUUUCAUUGAUACGAACAUGGCUGAUCUCAUUGGUGUGACGCAAGAUUUGUUAAAAUAGCGAUCGGAUUGAUUUUUCUUUGUAUAACUCUUCUGCCAAUUCUGAACUUGUACAUAUAAUUCCCAUUAUAAAAUAAAUAAAUAAAAUUCAAAACUCAUAUAAAAUAAAUAGAGACUUUUUAUAGCAUAUAAAAUAAGACUUUGUAACUUGUACAUAGUUACUGAUAACAUUCAUCUAAGAACUAACAGAUGAAUGUAUGCAAGCAAUAUUGAAGAAAUACAGAGAGAAAGAUCGAAAGGAAUAGAGAGAGAAAUAGAGAAAGAAAUGAGUGAAAGCUUUGUUAUUUCAUAAGAACAAAAGAUCAUCACAAAAGAACCCUGAUUCCUUCUUAUAUAGUCUGCACAUGUAGCUUAUCAGCUAAGCCACCUGUGUAACUAAUUCUUAACAAACUAACUAACUCCAAUAGCUGAUAUGGCACUUAUGAUGAUGUGUCAAUCACUAUAUAUCUUCAACAUCCCCCCGCAAUCUCAACUGGGAUUUUCUAGCUUGAGAUUGUAAAAAUGUUAGACAAAUGAAGGACUGUGAAGACCUUUGGUAAGAACAUCGGCAGUUUGCUCCUCAGUUGGGAUAUACAACACCUCCAAAUCGCCUUCAUGCACUCGUUCUCGUACAAAAUGGUAGUAUGUAUUAAGGUGUUUAAUUCUUGAAUGAAACACCAGAUUAGCACUUAAGGCAAUAGCGGACAUAUUGUCACAGUGAAUCGUUGGUGGAGCAUCCAAAAAUACACUCAAAUCCUUCAAUAUAUUUCGAAUCCAAGCUAUAUCUGCGGCAGUAUGUGCUAAGGCUUUAUAUUCAGCCUCAGUAGAACUCCUGGAUACCGAGUUUUGUUUCUUCGAUUGCCAAGAAAUUGGAUUACUACCCAAGUACACGACAUAACCAGUGAUAGACUGACGAGUAUUCAAGUCUGUAGCCCAAUAAGAAUCAGAAAACGCAGUAAGCUUUGAAACUGUGUUUGCAGAAAAAGCAAUACCAAUGUUCAUGGUUUCUUGAAGAUAACGAAUGAUUCAUUUAACAACGCCAAAAUGAACAUCAGUUGGUGAGGACAUAAACUGACAUACUGUGUUUACAGCAAAGGCAAUAUCAGGCCUAGUAAAGGUCAGAUAUUGUAAAGAUCCCACAAUACUUAUGUAAAAGGUUGGAUCUGUCAAUAAUUGUCCCUCAGAGUGUAACAUUUGAUAAUGAGGUUUACAAGGUGUGGUUGCUGGUUUACAUGAUUCCAUACCUGCUUUAUGGACGAGAUCUUUGAUAUACUUAGACUGAUUAACAAAAACACUGCCAUUUGCUUUAUAUUGAACUUGUAAACCCAAAAAAUAUGUAAGUUGUCCCAUAUCCUUUAACUCGAAUACCUCAGAUAAUUAUUGAAUCACUUUUUGGAUCUUCAAAGGAUUAGAACCAGUUAAGAUGAUAUCAUGAACAUAAAGUAAUAAGAUAAUGAUAUCAGAGUCAUCCUUCUUGACAAACAAACUUGUAUCAGAAGUUGAUGCAUGAAACUCCAUAACUGUCAAAUAACUUGUAAACUUCGAAUUCCACACUCGUGGAGCCUGUUUCAAGCCAUAUAAUGACUUGACCAAUUUGCAAACAUGAGAAAGAUAUGAUGUAUCAAUAAACCCUUAUGGUUCCUGCAUAUAAACUUCUUUUUGUAAAUCCCCGUGUAGAAAAGCGUUCUUGAUAUCUAAUUGGCGAAGAGGCCAAUGAUUCAUUGCAGCUAAAGAAAGAAUAAUCCUUACAGUAGUAUGUCCGACAACAGGACUAAAUGUGUCCAAGUAGUCAAUACCAUGUUCUUGGGAGAACCCUUGAGCUACAAGCCUUGCUUUAUACCUGGAGACACUGCCAUCAGAGUUUUUCUUCACUUUUUGUUCUGUCUUCAGGUGCAGGAACCAAUAGCCAAGUUCCUUGUGCUCGAAGUGAAUCAUAUUUCUCCUGCAUUGCCUUUUGCCACUGUGAAAUAGUAGGAGCUUUCCGAAAUGUCUUAGGUUCUGAAGCAUCAGUGAUCUCAGAAAGAAAGGAAUAGCCACCCGUGAAAGGUUCUUCAUCAGUGAUUUGGAGACAACAAAGCUCAGGACAUUGUGCUACUAAAGCAGCAUAAUUUUGUCCCUCAAUUGUUCCACUCUUCAAUCUAGGGACCAUUGAGUGAGUCAAUGGUGUAGUAUGUAAAAUGAGAUCAAAUAGAGAUAAAUCAGGAAGGAUUACCUUAAGUUGUGACUUAGAGUGGACAAGCAACAAGGAUUGUGUACCAGAGUGAUGAUGUGUAGGAGAGUGAUGAUGUGAAGAGUUUGGAGAUGCAUAUAGAAGAUUGGUUUCAGUCGAAUUUGUAUCUUGAUCACUAGGUUGAAUCACUUGUGUAUUGUCCGAACUAGAAACAUUCAAUUAACCAACCACAUAUAUACUUUCACAAUUUGCAGGAAUACUGUGAUGUGAACCAGUAUCAUUUGCUGAUAUAUGUAUAGAACUAGCUGCUUGUGAAUCAUGCUGUAUUUAUGUAUGAGGCAGGACUCUUGCACUUGGAACUUGUAACUGAAUCAAAACAGGUGUCUGAGAACACCUAUAUGUAGCUGUAGAAUCCUUAGAUGGCAAAACUUGUUUAAACGGAUAUACAUCUUCAUCAUGUAGUACAUGCCUUGACAGAAUGAACUUUCUAGUCUUGAUAUCAUAACAAAUAACUCCUUUAUAUCCAUGAGCAAAACCAAGAAAUACACAUUGAGCUGACCGUAGCUCCAAUUUAUUCUUAUUGAAUGAUCUUAUCAAGAUAGAGCAGCCAUAAGAAACUCUUAACUUUGGAGGAAUAUGAAGUUUCCAAAUGAGAUUCCAUCGCCGGAAAAGCACAAGGCCUAAUGGCCCAAAAGUAAGCAGAUUUAACUGAAAAAUUACCAUCAUUUAUUCCACUUCAGAUACACUUGGCAGUCAAAGCAUCAAAACUAAUUGGAAUGCUAAGAAUUUGUUCAACCACCUCUUUAGUAAAACAAGUAAUAGUGGAUCCAAACCAUUAUUGUAACAAUAGUUAGCUACAGUAGCCUUAUAUGUAUUGUCGGCGUUACCACACAAUCCCGAUAUACGUCCAGGAUCGACAUGUGAUCUCAUCAAAUACUCAUAUCUCUAACUUACCCCACCUCCGGAAUAUGGCAAAGUGAUGAGUCAAUAUUUACCAUAUAUUUUACCCUAAUCUUAGUAUUAAUUUAUUAAUUAUUUUGGUAGAAUUUUGAUACUUUGUUAUAUAUUUCUAACAUAGGACAUUCGACUUCAUCUGGAGAAAAAAGUAACCAAACGGAUGAUUUUUGGAGUGAUUCCAAUUGGAGGAUGUUUGUGAGUCUUUCGAGAUGAUUAUAUCAAAAUUCCAAAUUUUUCUACCUAGCCGUUUGACCGUGGCAAUGAAAUUAAGGCCCUGCGCGCAGCUUUCUCAGAUUGACAUUUCAGGACAUUUCGGGACAUUUUUUCAAUUCGGUUCGGUUUUUUUGUUCGGUUCGGUUUUUUCGGUUUCGGUUCGGUUUGGUUUUCGGUUUUUUUCGGUUUUCGGUUUUUUGAACCCACCCCUAAUUGUCACUGAUCGAGACUUAGCAAACUAAACUGAAAUAUAUUGAUUGCAAGGCAAGAGUACAAUUGUAAAAACAAGGUUUACUUUUUAAUGGAGGUUGUGUAGGAAAAAUUACAUUCAAAUUCAUUGCGGACCUCUUUUUUUUCUAAGACCAAAUCAAAGAAAAAAAUAAUUGAAUCAAUGAAUUACUAUAGCAGCUCCAUUUCUGACAAUGGCAAGAGGUCUCUGUGCUAAUCAAACUACCCGAAAUUUAUCCUAAAACUAUACUCGAGCUCCACCUUAUCUGCAAUCUCAAAUGCCUUCUCAAUAUCAUUUCAUGAUAAACCUGCUAUCCUAUUUAUAAGAAAUUAAGCACAAGCUAGCUCAAGUUAUGGUCUUUAAUUAAUAUUAAUUUCGACAAAUCAGCUUCCCAUCUCUUUCAUUCAUAUGAACAUGGCGCAAUAUUUGUUAAAUUAGCUGUUCGGGUUGAUUUCUUUGUAUAACUCUUCUGCCAAUUCUGCAACUUGUAGACGUAAUUCCCAUUUCAAAAUUUUAAAAAAUAAAAUAAAAUCCAAAACUAAUGUAAGAUAAAUAAAGACUUUUUAUAUCAUAAAAUAAGACUUUCAAACUUGUAUACAAGACUAUAGUGACAAAAUCAAACACAUUGAUGGGUGCGCAUGUUCCUUCAACAUCUGUUAUGUGCGUUUAAACUGAGCGUCGAGUCUUUUUUAGCAAUUAAAAGUUUUGUAUCAUGUAAUUGUCUUGGUUUGAUAAGACCUACAUCUGGAUAAGUUGCUUCUGAAGACUAAUGUAAAACUUUAUGUUGAUAAUUCUUGAGGGUGAAACAUCGUUUGAGAAAUGUUUUGGACCUCAUUACAAUUUUUUCAUUUAUUUUUUAACUUUUGGUUUAAAUAUUCUACUACAAAUACAUUUGUGGCUUCAAUAACUACUAAAACCACUUUCAAAUAUCUUAGUAUUGGCUUUCAGAACAAAGGGGUUUGGUAGUACAGGUUGAGCCAUGUUGUAUAGUGUAGCUGGGAUUGGGACGAUCUCUCUCUUUAUUUAUUUAUUUUUUUCCUUUAAUUUGCUUGCUUUGAAUGUGAUGCUCAGUUCAAACCUACUAUCCUAUUUCUAAGAAAUUAAGCACAAGCUAUCUCAAGUUAUGGUCUUUAAUUAAUAUUAAUUUCCUCAAUCAGUUUCCCAUUUCUUUCAUUGAUACGAACAUGGCUGAUCUCAUUGGUGUGACGCAAGAUUUGUUAAAAUAGCUGAUCGGAUUGAUUUUUUCUUUGUACCCGAGAAGAAAUGCAGGAAGGAGGAAUUUAUAAAGACAACGGAUACCUGCUCUUCGCUGCAAAAAACGACACUUAAAAGGACAAUUUUCCCGAGGUUUUCACCGCUGUUUUUACCGUUUGCUGCCAAAAACAAAUACUCUCCCCUUGCGAGCUCCGUUGUCAAUUCCCCUCGCGAACUUUGAGUCCCUCUGAAAAAAUGAUUAAGUGAAAUUUGAAUUUUUCAAACUUUGUGUUUGGUUAUAUCUAACAAUCCCUAAUUCCAAAUUUAUGGUUUAGAUAUAUAAAAAAGAUAUCUCGGGUACUUCAUUGCUAUCCAUUAAGCUCCCCACUUUCAAACAAAGCAGAAAAUUCUAAUUGAGUUGGGUUUUGAACAUGCAGAUUAGUUAGACAACUGAAUUACCAAUCCUUAUUAUUAUUGCAACAAACACACGGAUUACACUAAAAGCUAGUGAAUCAUACACUUGCAGAUGACUUAUCCAAACACAAAGAUAAGACAUGAGUUUAUUGUUAAAUUGUGGCCAAGUGGCCAUCACCUUUUGUAUUAAACAAAUAAAAAGAAAAAAAAAAGGGAGACAUCAUGAUGUUGUUUCUUACUUUGUGAUAAUGACAAAUGAUGAUGUUGGAGAAUUAUUUUUUAUUUGGCCCAUGUGGGAAGUCACGGGGUGACUUGAAGGAUUUAUUUAGCAGCAAUUGCUGCUUGUGUGGUUAAGAGAAGAAAACAGAGAGCAGAAGAAAAAGGAAAGAGAGCUGCCGAGAGCAAGAGAGUUGCAGAGAGCCCAAACAGAAAAAGAAGCUGCUGCUUCAUUUGAUUAGUAAUCAUCAACCAAAGUAGUUGUUGUUGUAAUAGUUUUGAGCUAUAUGUAUAGAGAAGAAAUUAUUCAUUAUAUUUCUUUCUCUAUUUGUUUCUUUGGUGUGUGAGAGUUAUUGGGUGUAUUGGGCUUUUGGGUUGUGAGAUUGUCAACACUUUGUAAACUCCCAUUUGGUUGAUAGUGGAUUAUUGGGUGAGCUCCUACUGCUCCGAGGACGUACUCCAGUUACACUGACUGUUGAGGAACCUCGUUAAAAUCUUGGUGUUCUUUUAUAUUUUGUUCUUGCAUUUUCAUUUGAUAAAUUUCCUGUGGGUUAGCUUGAGUUGGUUCCAACGGGUUUGGUGCUAUCCUAGCACAACAAUUGGUAUCAGAGCACUGGUUGCUCUUGGGUACUGUCUAGUUGCCAAAGAUGUCAGACGGGCAAGAUGAGAAUCCUUUUGGAAGCACCUCCGGGUUUGCAAGAACUACGGUGCAAAAUGCAAAGUUCGAAGUGGAAAAGUUUGAUGGCACAAACAACUUCGGGAUGUGGCAAUGUGAGGUCAAAGAUGUGUUGGCUCAACAAGAUCUACUUGCCGCUUUGGGAGAGAAGCCGGAAGCUAUGUCGAAGCCGGAAUGGGAGAAAUUAAAUUUGUGGGCUUGCUCUUCAAUUCGGUUGUGCCUUGCAAAAACUCAGAAGUAUUUUUUGUGAUGCGGGAGACAUUGGCAAGUGUGUGUGGCAAAAAUUGGAAGACAAGUAUAUGACGAAGAGUGCAGAGAACCGGCUACACUUGAAGAAAAAACUCUACCGCUUCCAAUACAAAGAAGGUACAAAAAUGAUUAGACACCUUGAUGCUUUUAAUAAGUUGAUUGCCGACUUGUUAAAUUUAGAUGAGGAUAUUAAGGAUGAAGAUAAGGCCUUAAUAUUGUUGAAUUCCUUGCCGGACUCUUAUGAGCAUUUUGUUACCACUAUUAUGCAUGGUAAAAAAACUGUGAAAUUUGAAGAUGUGUCAAAUGCCUUGAUGAAUUAUGAAAUGAGGCAUAGAGAUAAAAAUCAUGAUAGUACCUCUGAAGCUUUAUUUGUUAGAGGUAGAUCAUCGGAGAGGAGGUCAUCUUCUAGCAGGAAAAAAUCACAAUCUCGACCUAGAGGAAACUCUAAAGGUAGAAAACCUUUGGAAAGGGAUGAAUGUGCCUUUUGUCGUAAUAAGGGCCAUUGGAAGAAAGAUUGUCCUAAAUUGAAGAACAAAGGCAAAGAAAGUUCUGAAGCUAAUGUUGCUGAGGUUGAAACAGAUUUUUCUGAUUUUGCUUUAACCACUUCCUCAUCAUUUGAUUGUGCUACUAAGUGGGUGUUGGAUACGGGUUGUACUCAUCAUAUGACUCCUCACAAGGAUUGGUUUUCAAGCUUGAAAGAGUUUGAUGGUGGCGUUGUGUUCAUGGGAGAUGACAAUCCUUGCACAACAAAAGGGAUUGGUACAGUUCGUUUGAAGUUGCAUGAUGGCAUGGUUAAAGAGUUGACAGGUGUUCGGUAUGUACCGAAUUUGAAGAAAAAUCUUAUUUCUUUGGGUACUUUGGAAUCCAAGGGUUUCAGGUUUCAUUCAGAUGGACAGACAUUGAAAGUUACUUAUGGUGCACAUGUUGUGAUGAAAGCUCCUAGAUGUGGCCAUUUGUAUUUAUUGCAGGGAAGCACUGUGACAGGUGAAGCAUCUGUAGUCUCUGAAAAUAUGGGCACAUCUGAUUCAGAUACUACUAGAUUGUGGCAUAUGAGAUUAGGCCGUACCGGUGAGAAAGCUCUACAAGGGCUUGUGAAACAAGGUCUUCUAAAAGGUGCCAUGACUUGUAAGCUUGAUUUCUGUGAGCAUUGUGUCUUGGGGAAGCAAACUAGAGUGAAGUUUGGUACUGCUGUACAUCAGACGAAGGGCAUUCUUGAUUAUGUGCAUUCGGAUGUUUGGGGUCCUACAAAGACUCCCUCUUUGAGUGGUAGACAUUGGUUCGUGACCUUUGUUGAUGAUUAUUCAAGAAGGUCUUGGGUCUACACUAUGAAGCACAAGAGUGAGCUGUUAAGCAUUUUCUUGGGUUGGAAGAAAAUGGUUGAGAACCAGACUGGGAGAAAGAUUAAGAUUUUGAGAUCGGAUAAUGGUGGUGAAUACACAUCCGAUCCUUUCUUUAAAGUUUGCAAAGAGGAAGGAAUUGUGAGACAUUUCAGUGUUCGGGGAACUCCACAACAAAAUGGAGUUGCAGAAAGAUUGAAUCGAACCUUGCUUGAGAAGGUUAGAUGUAUGUUGUCUCAGUCGGGUUUAAGCAAGUCAUUUUGGGCAGAGGCAGUUAAUUAUGCAUGUCACAUCUCAACCGGUUACCCUCAGCUGCUGUUCAGGGUAAGACACCAAUGGAGGUAUGGACUGGAAAACCUUCUUCUGAUUAUGACUAUAUCCGUAUUUUUGGUUCACCUGCUUAUUUUCAUGUAACUGAAAAUAAACUUGAUCCAAGAGCCAAAAAGGCUAUCUUUCUUGGUUUUAGUAGUGGUGUCAAAGGUUACAGGUUGUGGUGUCCAGAGAUGAAAAAACUUGUAAUCAGCAGAGAUGUGACAUUUGAUGAAGAAAGUAUGUACAAAGUCUCUGAGAAGAAUGUGAAAGAUGUCCAACAGGUGGAGCUUGAGAAAGUUGCCUCUGAUACUUCAAAUCCUAUUUCCGCUGAUGUCGAAGCCACUACAAGUGAAGAAGUUGGAGACCAUGAGAAUGUUGAAGAAGUUGAACUUGAAGAUUCUAUUCAAGUUGAAGAGCAAGUUUCACCUCAAGAGUCUAUUGCUAAGAACAGAGGAAAAAGACAAAUUACCAAGCCAGCUCGGUACAGUGACUAUGUUGCUUUUGCUCUUCCUAUUAUCACUGAUGAGAUUCCAUCCAAUUUUGAGGAAGCUAUUGAGAGUGAGGAGAAGAAAAGGUGGUGCAAUGCCAUGGGUGAUGAAAUGAAUUCUCUCUUGAAGAACAAGACUUGGGAGUUAGCUAAAUUGCCUAAGGGCAAGAAAGCUAUCGGUUGCAAAUGGGUGUAUGCCAAGAAGGAAGAUGCUGAUGAGAAAAGCAAUGUGAGAUUUAAAGCAAGAUUAGUUGCUAAAGGGUAUGCACAAAAGGAGGGCAUUGACUACAAUGAAAUAUUUUCUCCAGUUGUGAAGCGCUCCUCAAUUCGUAUUAUGUUAGCUCUUGUUGCACAAUAUGAUCUUGAGCUUGUGCAACUUGAUGUGAAGACGGCUUUCCUACAUGGUGAUUUGAAUGAAGAGAUCUAUAUGUGUCAACCGGAUGGGUAUUGUGAAAGGGAAGGAAAAUUUGUUUUGCAAAUUGAAGAAAUCGCUUUAUGGCUUGAAGCAAUCUCCAAGGCAAUGGUAUUUGAGGUUUGAUAAAUUUAUGAGAGGCCAAAAUUAUUCUAGAAGUCAAUAUGAUCAUUGUGUGUACUUCAAGAAGUUGCAAGAUGGGUCUUUCAUUUAUUUAUUGAUAUAUGUUGAUGAUAUGUUGAUUGCCUCAAAGAAUGUUGAGGAGAUUGAGAAAUUGAAGAAACAAAUGAAGAAUGAGUUUGAGAUGAAGGAUCUUGGUGAAGCAAAUCCUUGGCAUGGAGAUCACUAGAGAUAGAGAGAAGGGUUUGGUCAGUUUGAAUCAAAGACAAUACCUUGAGAAGUUGAUUCGGAAGUUUGGAGUUCAUGAUUCAACCAAACCGGUUAGUACCCCUUUGGCUCCUCAUUUUAAAUUGAGUUCUCUACAGUGUCCUAAAACUGAUAAAGAGAAGCUGCAAAUGAAAAAUAUACCAUAUGCAAAUUUGGUUGGUAGUUUGAUGUAUGCAAUGGUAUGCUCUAGACCGGAUAUUGCUCAUGCAGUUGGCAUGGUGAGUCGAUAUAUGCAUAAUCCAGGUAAAGAGCACUGGCAAGCAGCUAAGUGGAUAUUGAGAUAUCUCCAUGGUACUCGAGAUGUUGGUUUAUGCUUUGAGAGAGAUGACUCUGGUAUUGGUCAUUUUGCAGUUGGUUAUGUUGAUUCAGAUUAUGCAGGUGAUCUGGAUGGAAGGAAGUCUACUACAGGCUAUGUGUUUACUAUGGCUAAAGGACCAGUUUGUUGGAGGUCCAUUUUGCAGUCGUCUGUUGCCUUGUCUACUACAGAGGCUGAAUAUAUGGCAGUUGCUGAAGCUAUAAAGGAGGCCAUUUGGAUACAUGGGCUGAUUAGAGAUUUGGGGGUUGAUCAGAAGCAGGUGGAGGUACAUUGUGAUAGUCAGAGUGCCAUUUAUUUGGCUAAGUAUCAGGUUCAUCAUGCGAGGACCAAGCACAUAGAUGUGCGUUAUCACUUUGUUCGUGAAAUUGUUGGUGAAGGGGAAAUCAUUCUCCAGAAGAUUCCAACUAAAGACAACCCCGCUGAUAUGUUGACUAAGGUUGUUGGUGUAGCCAAGUUUGUUCACUGUUUGAACUUGGCUCACAUUAUGCCUAUAUAAAGAAGGCGUUGAGCAGUAGGAGUUUUGGAGCAUUUGGCUCGGCAUGAGUUGUUCUCUUGCUAGUGUUCGGGAGUGAUGUUGUGUGCUAAUUGUGUUGGUUGGCUUAUCAUGGCGUUUUCGGAACUUGGCCAAGGUGGAGAUUGUUAAAUUGUGGCCAAGUGGCCAUCACCUUUUGUAUUAAACAAAUAAAAAGAAAAAAAAAAGGGGAGACAUCAUGAUGUUGUUUCUUACUUUGUGAUGAUGACAAAUGAUGAUGUUGGAGAAUUAUUUUUUCUUUGGCCCAUGUGGGAAGUCACGGGGUGACUUGAAGGAUUUAUUUAGCAGCAAUUGCUGCUUGUGUGGUUAAGAGAAGAAAACAGAGAGCAGAAGAAAAAGGAAAGAGAGCUGCCGAGAGCAAGAGAGUUGCAGAGAGCCCAAACAGAAAAAGAAGCUGCUGCUUCAUUUGAUUAGUAAUCAUCAACCAAAGUAGUUGUUGUUGUAAUAGCUUUGAGCUAUAUGUAUAGAGAAUAAAUUAUUCAUUAUAUUUCUUUCUCUAUUUGUUUCUUUGGUGUGUGAGAGUUAUUGGGUGUAUUGGGCUUUUGGGUUGUGAGAUUGUCAACACUUUGUAAACUCCCAUUUGGUUGAUAGUGGAUUAUUGGGUGAGCUCCUACUGCUCCGAGGACGUACUCCAGUUACACUGACUGUUGAGGAACCUCGUUAAAAUCUUGGUGUUCUUUUAUAUUUUGUUCUUGCAUUUUCAUUUGAUAAAAUUUCCUGUGGGUUAGCUUGAGUUGGUUCCAACGGGUUUGGUGCUAUCCUAGCACAACAUUUAUUAUUAUUGCUAUAAACACACGGAUUACAGCGAAAUUCAAAAACUAAAAAUAAGGAAAAAAGUAGUGAUGAAAACCAAUGCCACUUUCGCGGGAACACGAUUGAAUUCGCACAUGCAACAAGCCUUUUAAACCCAUAGGUGACCCAAAUGGGACGAGUGAAGUCUCGUGAGGGUUUCCAGAGACGUUACCCACAAACAUCAUGCAUACUGAUCAUCAACAUCUGCCUUGGGAGACUGAGUAGAUAUCCACCCCUCCAGCAUCAGGUUGUUUUUGGUUGAGGCGUAAUUCGAAUCUGUUUUCAAUGAACGGCCUGGUUAUGAGAUCACUUUGCAAGUGACGUAAUCGGCAGCGCGUGAUUAGGUUGUUGCUGUCAGGUGGUCCGACAGGCUCGACCUUGAACAAUGUGCAAGCCCAAUUGUCUUUGGUUUCAUUUCGGUCAGCAGCUGCGGCCAGGACCAACAGCCUGUUUUGGUCCACCCUUCUCAAGUAGUUACCAUUGUAGGAGCAUUUGAUAUGCACGUAAUUCUUGUCAGCGUAGUCCUCAUUGUUUGGCUUCUCGGUGGUGAACUUUAUGAACCUGCUGUUUUCAUUGUCCUCGGAAAACUGGACAAUCUCAUUAAGGUCGCUUUCUGCAUCAAGUUGAUAGCGCAAAUACUUGUUGUUGAUAUCUGCUUUCAGCAAAAAAGGGCUUGGUAGUACAGGUGGAGCCAUAUCGUAUAGUGUAGUUGGGAUUGGGAUGCUCUCUCUUUUUUAUUCUCUGUUGAUGAUCUAAUUUGCUUGCUGUGAAUGUGAUGCUUAGUUCAAACCUGCUAUCCUAUUUAUAAGAAAUUAAGCACAAGCUAACUCAAGUUAUGGUCUUUAAUUAAUAUUAAUUUCGACAAAUCAGUUUCCCAUCUCUUUCAUUGAUAUGAACAUGGCUGAUCUCAUUGGUGUGGCGCAAUAUUUGUUAAAUUAGCCGUUCGGGUUGAUUUCUUUGUAUAACUCAUCUGCCAAUUCUACAACUUGUAGACUUACUUCCCAUUACAAAAUAAAAAAUAAAAUAAAAUCCGAAACUAAUGUAAGAUAAAUAAAGACUUUUUAUGUCAUAAAAUAAGACUUUCUAACUUGUAUACACGACUAUAGUGACAAGAUCAAACACAUUGAUGGGUGCGCAUUUUCCAUCAACAUCUGUUCUGUGCGUUUAAACUGAGCGUGAAGUCUUUUUUAGCAAUUAAAAGUUUUGUAUGAUGUAAUUGUCUUGGUUUGAUAAGACCUACAUCUAGAUGAGUUGCUUCUGAAGACUAAUGUAAAACUUUAUGUUGAUAUUUCUUGAGGGUGAAACAUCGUUUGAGAAACGUUUUGGGCCUCAUUACAAUUUUUUCAUUUAUUUUUUAACUUUUGGUUUAAAUAUUCUACAAUAAAUACAUUUGUGGCUUUAAUAACUAGUAAAACCACUUUCAAAUAUCUUAGUAUCGGCUUCAGAACAAAGGGGUUUGGUAGUACAGGUGGAGCCAUGUUGUAUAGUGUAGCUGGGAUUGGGAUGAUCUCUCUCUUUAUUUAUUUAUUUAUUUUCUUUAAUUUGCUCGCUUUCAAUGUGAUGCUCAGUUCAAACCUACCAUCCUAUUUCUAAGAAAUUAAGCACAAGCUAUCUCAAGUUAUGGUCUUUAAUUAAUAUUAAUUUCCUCAAUCUGUUUCCCAUAUCUUUCAUUGAUACGAACAUGGCUGAUCUCAUUGGUGUGACGCAAGAUUUGUUAAAAUAGCUGAUCGGAUUGAUUUUUUCUUUGUAUAACUCUUCUGCCAAUUCUGAAAUUGUACAUAUAAUUCCCAUUAUAAAAUAAAUAAAUAAAAUCCAAAACUCAUAUAAAAUAAAUAGAGACUUUUGAUAGCAUAUAAAAUAAGACUUUGAAACUUGUACAUAGUUACGGAUAACAUUCAUCUAAGAAUUAACAGAUGAAUGUAUGCAAGCAAUAUCGAAGAAAUACAGAGAGAAAGAUCGAAAGGAAUAGAGAGAGAAAUAGAGAAAGAAAUGAGUGAAAGCUUUGUUAUUUCAUAAGAACAAAAGAUCAUCACAAAAGAACCCUGAUUCCUUCUUAUAUAGUCUGCACAUGUAGCUUAUCAGCUAAGCGUGUAACUAAUUCUUAACAAACUAACUAACUCCAAUAUCUGAUAUUUCACUUAUGAUGAUGUGUCAAUCACUAUAUAUCUUCAACAUCCCCCACAAUCUCAACUGGGAUUUUCCAGCUUGAGAUUGUAAAAAUGUUUGACAAAUGAAGGACUGUGAAGACCUUUGGUAAGAACAUCGGCAGUUUGCUCCUCAGUUGGGAUAUACAACACCUCCAAAUCGCCUUGCUGCACUCGUUCUCAGUUUAUAUCAAGGUGUUUAAUUCUGAAAUGAAACACCAGAUUGGCACUUAAGGCAAUAGCGGACAUAUUCUUACAGUGAAUCGUUGGUGGAGCAUCCAAAAAUACACCCAAAUCCUUCAAUAUAUUUCGAAUUCAAGCUAUAUGUGCCGCAGUAUGUGCUAAGGCUUUAUAUUCAGCCUCAGUAGAACUCCUGGAUACCGAGUUUUCUUUCUUCGAUUGCCAAGAAAUUGGAUUAUUGCCUAAGUACACGACAUAACUAGUGAUAGACCGACGAGUAUUCAAGUAUGCAGCCCAAUCAGAAUCAGAAAACGCAGUAAGCUUUGAAACUGUGUUUACAGAAAAAGUAAUACCAAUGUUCAUGGUUCCUUGAAGAUAACGAAUGAUUCGUUUAACAACGCCAAAAUGAACAUCAGUUGGUGAGGACAUAAACUGACAUACUGUGUUUACAGCAAAGGCAAUAUCAGGCCUAGUAAAGGUUAGAUAUUGUAAAGAUCCCACAAUGCUUCUGUAGGAGGUUGGAUCUGUCAAUAAUUGUCCCUUAGAGUGUAACAUUUGAUGAUGAGGUUUACAAGGAGUGGUUGCUGGUUUACAUGAUUCCAUACCUGCUUUAUGGACGAGAUCUUUGAUAUACUUAGACUGAUUAACAAAAACACUGCCAUCUGCUUUAUAUUGAACUUGUAAACCCAAAAAAUAUGUAAGUUGUCCCAUAUCCUUUAACUCGAAUACCUCAGAUAAUUAUUGAAUCACUUUUUGGAUCUUCAAAGGAUUAUAACCAAUUAAGAUGAUAUCAUCAACAUAAAGUAAUAAGAUGAUGAUAUCAGAGUCAUCCUUCUUGACAAACAAACUUGUAUCAGAAGUUGAUGCAUGAAACUCCAUAACUGUCAAAUAACUUGUAAACUUCGAAUUCCACGCUCGUGGAGCUUGUUUCAAGCCAUAUAAUGACUUGACCAAUUUGCAAACAUGAGAAGGAUAUGAUAGAUCAAUAAACCCUUGUGGUUGCUGCAUAUAAACUUCUUCUUGUAAAUCUCCAUGUAGAAAAGCGUUAUUGAUAUCUAAUUGGUGAAGAGUCCAAUUAUUCAUUGCAGCUAAAGAAAGAAUAAUCCUUACAGUAGUAUGUCGGACAACAGGACUAAAUGUGUCCAAGUAGUUAAUACCAUGUUCUUGGGAGAACCCCUGAGCUACAAGCCUUGCUUUAUACCUGGAGACACUGCCAUCGGGGUUUUUCUUCACUUUGUAUACCCAUUUGCUUCCUACAAUUGUUCUAUCUUCAGGUGCAGGAACCAAUAGCCAAGUUCCUUGUGCUCGAAGUGAAUCAUAUUUCUCCUGCAUUGCCUUUUGCCACUGUGAAAUUGUAGGAGCUUUCCGAAAUGUCUUAGGUUCUGAAGCAUCAGUGAUCUCAGAAAGAAAGGAAUAGCCACUUGUGAAAGGUUCUUCAUCAAUGAUUUGGAGUGAACAAAGCUCAGGACAUUGUGUUACUAAAGCAGCAUAAUUUUGUCUCUCAAUUGUUCCACUCUUCAAUCUAGUGACCAUUGAGUGAGUCGAUGGUGCAGUAUGUAAAAUGAGAUCAGAUAGAGAUAAAUCAGCAAGGAUUACCUCAAGUUGUGACUCGGAGUGGACAGGCAACAAGGAUUGUGUACCAGAGUGAUGAUGUGUAGGAGAGUGAUGAUGUGAAGAGCUUGGAGAUGCAUAUAAAUGAGUGGUAUCAGUCGAAUUUGUAUCUUGAUCACUAGGUUGAAUCACCUGUGUAUUGUUCGAACUAGAAACAUUCAAUUAACCAACCACAUUUAUACUUUCACCAUUUGCAGGAAUACUGUGAUGCGAACCAGUAUCAUUUGCUAAUAUAUGUAUAGAACUAGCUGCUUGUGAAUCAUGCUGUAUUUAUGUAUGAGGCAGGACUCUUGCACUUGGAACUUGUAAUUGAAUCAAAACAUGUGUCUGAGAACACCUAUAUGUAACUGUAGAAUCCUUAGAUGGCAGAACUUGUUUAAACGGAUAAACAUCUUCAUCAUGUAGUACAUGCCUUGACAUAAUGAACUUUCUAGUCUUGAUAUCAUAGCUAAUAACUCCUUUAUAUCCAUGAGCAAAACGAAGAAAUACACAUUGAGCUGACCGUGGCUCCAAUUUGUUCUUAUUGAAUGGUCUCAAUAGAGGAUAUAUUGCAGUACCAAAGACUUUAAGAUGUUGUACUUCAGGAACACAACCAAACACAACUUGAUAGGGAGAUUUCAUCUUCAAAUUUCUAGAUGGCAUCGUAUUGAUUAAGAAUGCAACAUGAGAACAAGCAUGAUACCAGAAAGCUGAAGGUAAUUGAGCAUCUAAUAGCAAACUAAUAGCAGUCUCAACUAAAUGUCUAUGUUUUCGUGUAGCAAGACCAUUUUGCUGUGGUGUAUGAGAGCAUGAAACUGGUGUAUAAUUCCUUUUAUCUCUAACAACUGUCUAAACACAUUACUCAUAUAUUCACCUCCACCAUUUGAUUGAAGAACUUUAACGGAAGCAUUAAACUGAUUCUCAAUAAAUGUCAGAGACUUGGUAAAGAUUGGAAAAGCAUCGGAUUUAUUAACCAUCGGAAAAAUCCAUACAAAUCAAGAGCAGUCAUCUACAAAGCUUAUGUAAUACCUAUAACCCUCUAUUAACCUCUGCAGUGAAGGACCCCAUAUAUCUGAAUGUAUCCUUUCAAAUACAACUUUUGACCUAUCGGGACUUACAGAGAAAGGCAACUUAGUCAUUUUUCCUUGAAUACAAGCAGUACAUAUAGAUGGAGACAAAUCUAUACUGGCUAAUACUUCAGACUUAUUCAACAUUGUAGUAAGCACUUCUUCAGAUGGAUGACCCAACCUUUUAUGCCAAACUGUAGUCUUUAGCUUCUUUCCAACAAAAGUUGCACAUCUUUCAAUACUUGGUACUCUGGAUCUUGACAACACUGUUAUUGGUAUCUUGAAGAGCUCCCCAUCAUCACUCUGGCCUUGGUACACAAUCCUUCGAGUUGCUUUGUCCUGUAUCAAGAAGAUCAGAUCAUCACAUACAAACCAGCAAUUAUUAUCUCUGCAUAAGUUCUUAACAGACAACAAAUUCAUUGUAAUGUGUAGAACAUGUAGCACAUUUUGCAGAAUUAAUGACUUUUGUUGAGUGUUAAGGACAGAGGAACCAAUAUUUUUAACCACCAAACCUUCUUCAUUACCAACAGUGAUCAUGGCAUCACCAUUAUAAGGAGUGAUAUAAUUUAAAACUUCGACAUUUGAUGUCAUGUGGUGAGUUGCACCUAUGUCAACUACCUAUGUAUCAGCAGCUAAAAAACCAUGGACAUUUGAGUCUUCAGUUGCAACAUUUGAGCCUUGAGCAGCCAUCCCAACAAGAGAUGUAGGUGGUGCACUGCCUUGAUAUGAGAAGUUAUUCCUAUGAAAGCAUUCCAAAGCCCGAUGACCUAUUUUCCCACAUAUCUGACAUACCAAGAUCCCUCCAGAUGAUUGAUUGUUAUCAGCUCUAAGGUAACAAUUUGGUGUUGUAUGGUCUCUUCUAGAACAAAUUUGACAUUCAGGAGAUAUAACAUUGCUGUAAUUUGUAUCACCAUUCCAAGUGUUUCCUUGUUUGCUUCCAUUACCAGAGAAAGAACUUUGAGAACCUCCAUUUGAACAUCUUUCCCAUUAUUCCCAAAAGUAGAAUAUGGCCUGUAAUUAUUAUUCCCACCAUUAUAACCACCAGAGAAUUUUCGAUUGUUCAAAUUAUUCCCAUUAUACCUCCUAUUAUUGUUACCACCAUUGUAAUUAUUCCUCCCUUGAGACCUCUAUGCAUUUGAACUCUCCCCUUGUUCAUAACUUUGAGUAUUGCCCUGAGAUUCCUGUGUAUUCGAGCCAUUGCCCUGAACAUACAUGGCAGCCAUAGAACUUGAUAAAGUUGUCAGUCUAGACUCAAUACUGCUUUCAGCCCUAAUUAGUUGAGCUCGAAAAUCUUUCAUUGAAAUCGGAGUGUCUCUUGCUAAGAUUACUGUCUUGAUCAUUUCAAAUUAUGGAGGUAAACUAGUUAAAGCAAUGACCAAAUCAUUCUCAGUGAUUUUCUCCCCUGCAGCAACCAGUUGAUCCUUGAUAAUCUUCAAUCGAAGCAAAUACUUGUCAACAUAAUCCGCACCUUUCUGUGUAGUAUGAAACUCAGUCUUGAGUUGAUUAACCCUGACAACAGAUACAGACGCAUAUCAUUCCUGUAAAGAUUUCCAAGCUUCUUGAGAAGUUUUACACCCAAUGACAUAGCCCAUAGCUUCAUCUGAAAGUGUAGCAAUCAGCAAACUCAAUAGAGAGACAUCUGUUUUAACCCAAUCUUUAUAUGCAGUAGUAAUUUCUUUAGUGACCCCAGUCUCAGUAUUGAUGACAAACUUUGGAGGACAUUGAGACUCCCCACUAAAGAAAUCAAAGAAAUCGUACCCCUUAAGCACCGACUGAAACUGAUAAUCCCAUUUGACAAAAUUAUCUUCUUUCAACUUAGCAGUGAUCAUGCCCAAAAGACUUUCAAUUUUCACAGAACUAAACACCAUAUUGUUGAUAGAAACUGAAUCAAGAAAUCAAGUACUCAAACAAUCUUCAAGAAUUAUAACAACUCCAAGAACACACACUACUGAUUAUCGGCCUUGUUCGUGUGAAAAACCCAACAAACACUCAAACAACAGCAAUGGCUAUCGGCCUUUAUGCUUUGACAGAAAACGUUUCAACAAUCAUUCAAUUAGAAAAAUGGCUAUCGGCCUUCAAUAUCAUACUCCAAACAUCAAGAAAUGGCUAUCGGCCUUCAAUAUCAUACUCCAAACAUCAAGAACUUGCUAUCGCCCUUCAACUUUCAGUCUUUCACAAAAGAUUCAUCAUUGCGACAAUUACACAAACACUUAGAGUGCAAAAAGAAAAAUAACACCUAAAAAACUCAAAGUCUAACUUCCCAAACGCCAAAAGCUCAUUAACCCACUAUACCACUUCACAGCAAUCAAGAUAAUCUUUUGGCACAGCACAGCGGAAAUACACACCACGAGAUCGAACACUUGGCGAAGAUACCAUGAUAACAUUCAUCUAAGAACUAACAGAUGAAUGUAUGCAAGCAAUAUCGAAGAAAUGCAGAGAGAAAGAUCGAAAGGAAUAGAGAGAGAAAUAGAGAAAGAAAUGAGUGAAAGUUUUGUUAUUUCAUAAGAACAAAAGAUCAUUACAAAAGAACCCUAAUUCCUUCUUAUAUAGUCUGCACAUUUAGCUUAUCAGCUAAGCCACCUGUGUAACUAAUUCUUAACAAACUAACUAACUUCAAUAGCUGAUAUGGCACUUAUGAUGAUGUGUCAAUCACUAUAUAUCUUCAACAGUUACAAGAUCGAACACAUUGAUGGGUUAUAUAUUUGGGGCUCACUACAAUUUUUUUCACUUAAUUUAGGUUUUGGCUUAAAUAUACCAUUCAAACUAAAUGUGUGGCUCAAUAAUUGGUAGAAACCUUUCCAAAUGCUUUAUAAAUGUUCUCUUAAUGAUAACGGAGAAUAUUUUGGGAAGACAACUUAUUUGAAUUUCUCACGAAAAUGUGGGUGCUCAUUAAUUUUAGUCGGCUUGGCAAUUUUGUAUAAAAAUCAUCAUUAAAUAUAGUAGUUUUCACCUUUGCCUCACCGCUAUAUUUCUAAAAGUAAUGUAAGACUUUCAGCCUUUGUUCAUUAGUGAGGAUCUUAUCAAGAUAGAGCAGCCAUAAGAAACUCUUAACUUUGGAGGAAUAUGAAGUUUCCAAAUGAGAUUCCAUCGCCAAUUAGGUAAAGCACUAGGCCUAAUGGCCCAAAAAUAUGCAGAUUUAACUGAAAAAUUACCAUCAUUUAUUCCACUUCAGAUACACUUGGCAGUCAAAGCAUCAAAACUAAUUUGAAUGCUAAGAAUUUGUUCAACCACCUCUUUAGUAAAACAAGUAAUAGUGGAUCAUGUAUUUGUCUUGGUUUGAUAAGACCUACAUCUAGAUGAGUUGCUUCUUAAGACUAAUGUAAAACUUUAUGUUGAUAUUUCUUGAGGGUGAAACAUCGUUUGAGAAACGAUUUGGGCCUCAUUACAAUUUUUUCAUUUAGUUUUUAACUUUUGGUUUAAAUAUUCUACUAUAAAUACAUUUGUGGCUUUAAUAACUAGUAAAACCACUUUCAAAUAUCUUAGUAUCGGCUUUCAGAACAAAGGGGUUUGGUAGUACAGGAGCCAUGUUGUAUAGUGUAGCUGGGAUUGGGAUGAUCUCUCUCUCUUUUUUGUUUUUUUGUUUUCCUUUAGUUUGCUUGCUUUGAAUGUGAUGCUCAGUUCAAACCUACCAUCCUAUUUCUAAGAAAUUAAGCACAAGCUAUCUCAAGUUAUGGUCUUUAAUUAAUAUUAAUUUCCUCAAUCAGUUUCCCAUAUCUUUCAUUGAUACGAACAUGGCUGAUCUCAUUGGUGUGACGCAAGAUUUGUUAAAAUAGCUGAUCGGAUUGAUUUUUUCUUUGUAUAACUCUUCUGCCAAUUCUGAACUUGUACAUAUAAUUCCCAUUAUAAGAUAAAUAAAUAAAAUCCAAAACUCAUAUAAAAAAAAUAGAGACUUUUUAUAGCAUAUAAAAUAAGACUUUGUAACUUGUACAUAGUUACAAGAUCGAACAAAUUGAUGGAUUAUAUAUUUGGGGCUCACUACAACUUUUUUUCACUUAAUUUUAGGUUGUGGCUUAAAUAUACCAUUCAAACUAAAUGUGUGGCUCAUUAAUUGGUAGAAACCUUUCCAAAUGCUUUAUAAAUGUUCUCUUAAUGCUAACGGAGAAUAUUUUGGGAAGACAAAAUAUUUGCAUUUCUUACGAAAAUGUGGGUGCUCAUUAAUUUUAAUUGGUUUUGCAAUUUUGUAUAAAAUCAUCAUUAAAUAUAGUAGUUUUCAUCUUUGCCUCACCGCUAUAUUUCUAAAAGUAGUGUAAGAUUUUCAGCCUUUGUUCAUUAGUGAGGAUCUUAUCAAGAUAGAGCAGCCAUAAGAAACUCUUAACUUUGGAGGAAUAUGAAGUUUCCAAAUGAGAUUCCAUCGCCAAUUAGGAAAAGCACAAGGCCUAAUGGCCCAAAAAUAAGCAGAUUUAACUGAAAAAUUACCUUAAUUUAUUCCACUUCAGAUACACUUGGCAGUCAAAGCAUCAAAACUAACUAAUUGGAAUGCUAAGAAUUUGUUCAACCACCUCUUUAGUAAAACAAGUAAUAGUGGAUCCAAACCAUUAUUGUAACAAUAAUUAGCUACAGUAGCCUUAUACGUAUUGUCCGUGUCACCACCCGAUCCCGAUACACGUCCAGGAUCGACAUGUGAUGUCAUCAAAUACCCAUAUCUCUAACUUACCCCGCCUCCGGGAUAUGGCAAAGUGAUGAGUCAAUAUUUUACCAUAUAUUUUACCCUAAUCUUAGUAUUAAUUUAUUGGUUAUUUUGGUAGAAUUUUGAUACUUUGUUAUAUAUUUCUAAUAUAGGACAUUCGACUUCAUCUGGACAAAAAAGUAACCAAACGGAUGAAUUUUGGAGUGAUUCCAAUUGGAGGAUGUUCGUGAGUCUUUUGAAAUGAUUAUAUCAAAAUUCCAGAUUUUUCUACCAAGCCGUUUGACCAUGGCGAUUAAGUUAAGGCCCAGCGCGCAGUUUUCUCAUAUUGACAUUUCUGGACGUUUUUUGUAUUUUGAAGAUCAAUAUGUCAUAUUUUGAGGAAGCUUUCUUCUGAGGAUUUGUAUGGGACAUCUCCAGCUUUCAAAAGAGACCUUUUGGGACCAAAUCGGAGUUGAUUUGGGUGGUCAGAAGUCUGAUUUUCUGAGAACUCCAAAUUCUUGUUCAAAUAGGAAACCUUUUAUUUUCUGUUUUAUUAUUUUAGUAUGUUUCAUAGUUUUAUUCUAAGACCUUUUAGGGUUUUAUUUUGUAUUAGUAUAAAUAAGAUAUUUAGCCAUUAGGGGAAAAGAGGAGAGAAUAGGAGGAGAACGCACACAGUACUUGGAGGAUUCAAGUUUAUUUUCAAGGUGUUUUAUAUCCAUGUUCUUAAUAAUAUUUUGUUUUAUGGUUGUUAGUAACUAGUUUCGUUUGCUAGGGCGAGGCCACGAUCCUUAGCAAGAAUAUGUAGUUUCUUUUCAAUCUGCUUAUGAUAUUAUGCAUGCAAGUUUUGAAUUAUUAAUCAUUGUGCUUUAAACUAUCUAAUUGUGUUGAUGAUUGGCCGCCAUUAGGAUAUUUAGAAAAGUAAUUUGAUGCAAUUUUGGCGGAGGGCUGUCCCUGGAAUUGGCGCUGGCUUCUUGUGGUUAAUAUGUGUAACUUCUUAGGAUGGACGACAUGUCUUAAGGGUUAUAUGGUUUUUCAAAAGGAUUUCACAAAACUUUAUGAGUUUUACAUGUUCACGUUUGAUCUGGACACCACAGAUGGGUUGCACGUUAAAUAUAGAUUCUAUGUUGGAGGUUCCAAGUAGGGCAUACUUUAGGAAAACCUAAUUAACCAUCAAAAUAUGCAUGUGUAUUUCAUAAGUAAUUGGAAGAACUAUAUAGGAUUGUUAAGGUGAUGGUGAAACCCUAGUGCUUAACUUUUUUCUUUGGUUUUCUUUACUUUCCCAAUUUAUAGUGGAUCCAAACCAUUAUUGUAACAAUACUUAGCUACAGUAGCCUUAAGUGUAUUAUCGGUGUCACGCACCGAUCCCGACAUACGUCUAGGAUCGACACGUGAUGUCACCAAAUACCCAUAUCUCCAACUUACUCUGCCUCUGGGAUAUGGCAAAGUGAUGAGUCAAUAUUUUACCAUAUAUUUUACCCUAAUCUCAGUUUGUUGGUUAUUUUGGAAGAAUUUUGAUGCUUUGUUAUAUAUUUCUAAUGUAGGAUAUUCGACAUCCUCGGGGGAAAAAAAGUAACCAAACAGAUGAAUUCUGGAGUGAUUCCAAUUGGAGAAUGUUCGUGAGUCUUUCAAGAUGAUUGUAUCAAAAUUCCAGAUUUUACUAUCAAGCUGUUUGAUCGUGGCGAUGAAAUUAAGGCCCACCGCGUAGCUUUCCCAGAUUGACGUUUCUGGACGUUUUUGGUAUUUUGAAGGUCAAGAUGUUAUAUUUAGAGGAAGAUUCCUUCUGAGGAUUUGUAUGGGACGUCUCCAGCUUUCAAAAGAGACCUUUUGGGACAAAAUCGGAGUUGAUUUGGUUGGUCAAAAGUCUGAUUGUCUGAUAACUCCGAAUUCUAGUUCAAAUAGGAAACCUUUUAUUUUCUGUUUUAUUAUUUUAUUAUGUUUCCUAGUUUUAUUCUAAGACCUUUUAGGGUUUUAUUUUGUAUUAGUAUAAAUAAGAUGUUUAGCCAUCAGGGUAAAAGAGGAGGAGAGAAAAAGAGGAGAACGCACAUAGUACUUUGGAGGAUUCAAGUUUAUUUUCAAGGUGUUUUCUUUCCAUGUUCUUAAUAAUAUUUUGUUUUAUGGUUGUUAGUAACUAGUUUCGUUUGCUAGGGCGAGGCCACGAGCCUUAGUGAGAAUAUGUAGUUUCUUUUCAAUUUGCUUAUGAUAUAUAUUAUGCAUGCAAGUUUUGAAUUAUUAAUCACUAUGCUUUAAACUAUCUAAUUGUCUUGAUGAUUGGCCACCAUUAGGAUAUUUAAAAAGGUAAUUUGAUGCAAUUUUGGUGGCGGGAUGUCCCUGGAAUUGGUGCUGGCUUCUUGUGGUUAAUAUGUGUAACUUCUUAGGAUGGACAACACGUCUUAAGGGUUAUAUGGUUUUUCAGAAGGAUUUCACAAAACUUAAUGAGUCUUGCAUGUUCACAUUCGAUCUGGACACCACAGACGGGCUGCAUGUUAGAUAUACGUUUUAUGUUGGAGGUUCCAAGUAAGGCAUACUUUAGGAAAACCAAACCUUCAAAAUAUGCAUGUGUAAUUCAUAAGUAAUUGGAAGAACUACGUAGGAUUGUUAAGGUGACGGCGAAACCCUAGUGCUUAAAUUUAUUUUCAAAAACUAUUUUCUUUGCUUUUCUUUACUUUCCCAAUUUAUUUAAUUGUUUUUAGUUCAAUUGGUUUUUAAUAUUUUAGGCCAUAAAACCAACCUCUUCUAGACUUUAUUUUCAAAUAAUUAAUUAAGAUUUGGUUUUAACAUAAAUUAUGGCUUUUUUUAUUAGCACCUCCUAAAAUGUUGAAUGCACCCCACAUUAAAAUUUAAUAUUAAAUGACUUAUUUACCCCACUAUGCAAUGACAAUUUUGACCUUAUUAGGUUUUAAAAAAAUAAAAUAAAAAUCUCUAAAUACACCCCAAAUCACUAAACCCUAUUAUUUAUCUUCUCAACUAUCAAAACCCUCUUACCCUCCAUUGUUGAACAAAACCCUAACCAAUGAAACUACAAACAUCUUGAUUGAGAAAAAUUGCUUUUGACGAAUGGAACACAAAAUCAAUGUUUCGGAGCCUUCACAUGAGGUAAGACUAUGUUUCAUCGGUGGUUUGGUUAAUUUCAUAUUCCUUUUUUUUUUCUUCCAUUGGUUAUUCAUUUUCUUCUUUGCAGGUUACAAAUCCAGCCAGUGAUCCUCUUAGAGUAGAUUUGGUUAUAUCCCUUGAAAUGAACAUUGGAGAGCGACAAAAUAUUUUGGAGGUUGGACCAGAAAAUGCAUCGCAGGUUUGUUGGCAUGUACCACUCUGCCUAUUGAUAUUGAGUUGUAUGGUUCUUAAAAUAAUUGAGGUGUAUGAUUCUUAGUAAAUAAAUGAGGAUUUGAUAAUAAUUUUUGGUGUAUUUAAAUACGAUAGCAUACAAGGCAAUACCUCUAUAGGGGACAAUGAGGUUGCAGCAACGAGCGUCGUUGAUCACACAAACGCAUUUAAAACAAACGAGGUAACUAUUUUUAGUAUAUUGAAUGUGCAUCUGUGAAUUUCAUGGAAAUUCUUGCAUUCUUUUAUUCAGCAUAGUGCAUUAGGUUCAUAAUAGGGAAUAACAUAUGGGUUGGAAUCUUAGCAUGUCUACAAACAUUUUGUUAGUGGCAAAUGGCAAUGAUCUUGUAUGUACAGGUGUUCAAAAGUAAAAAUGAUUUCCUUGAUUGGACUCGCGCACAAGGAAAAAAGAAUAAUAUGGUUAUUAUCAUUAAGAGGUAUGAUGCGGGAAAGGUUGACCGAAGGAGGAAGAGAGCUCGAAUAACAUUUGCUUGUGAGAGACAUGGCGAGUAUCGAUCCAUAUUGAGGAAGUCGGAUAUUAAUGACCAAAUUUCUGAUGCAAAUAAUAAGAAGAAUAAAGAACCCAGGAAUACUGGUACUAAAAAAUGCGGAUGUCCAUUUAUGUUGAAAAGAGUCAACGUUGGAGAAGGAGAUGAAUUGAAAUUGGAGGUUGAGUGUGGGGUGCAUAACCAUACUUAUUCACAGUAUCUUGAAGGGCAUUCUUUUGUCGGACGAUUAACUAAAGAGCAAAAUGAACUUUUAGUUGACAUGUCUACAAGUUUAGUGAGACCCAAAGUUAUUUUGAACACCAUAAAGAAAAAAGAUCCACUUAAUGUAACAACGAUGAGGACAAUAUACAAUGCAAGACACUAUCAUCGGACAAAAGAAAAAGCAGGGAGAUCAGAAAUGCAACAGUUGUUAUGUAAGUUGGUUGAGUACAACUAUAUUGAGCAUCAUCGAAGUAUUGGUGUUGAUAAUGCUGUUAGUGACUUGUUUUGGACUCACCCAAUUAAUGUCGAUACCUUACAUUGUUUCCCACAUGCACUUAUCAUGGAUUGCACGUACAAGACUAAUAGGCAUCGUUUUCCACUCCUGGAGAUUGUAGGGGUAACUUCAACUAGUAUUACAUUUUCGGUUACAUUUGCUUUCAUUGACCAUGAGAAGGAAGACAAUUACACAUGGGCAUUGACAAGAUUGAAGACUCUAAUGAAUGAUGAUUGUAUUUCUGGUGUGAUUGUCACUAAUCGAGAUCUUACAUUGUUUCCCACAUGUACUUAUCAUGGAUUGCAUGUACAAGACUAAUAGGCAUCGUAUUCCACUCCUGGAGAUUGUAGGGGUAACUUCAACUAAUAUUACAUUUUUGGUUGCAUUUGCUUUCAUUGACCAUGAGAAGGAAGACAAUUACACAUUGGCAUUGACAAGAUUGAAGACUCUAAUGAAAGAUGAUUGUAUUCCUAGUGUGAUUGUCACUGAUCGAGACUUUAGCAAACUGAACUCAAAUAUAUUGAUUGCAAGGCGAGAGUACAUUUGUAAAAACAAGGUUUACUUUUUAAUGGAGGUUGUGUAAGAAAAAUUACAUUCAAAUUCAUUGCGGAUCUCUUCUUUUUCUAAGACCAAAUCAAAGAAACAAAUAAUUGAAUCAAUGAAUUACUAUAGCAGCUCCAUUUCUGACAAUGGCAAGAGGUCUCUGUGCUAAUCAAACUACCCGAAAUUUAUCCUAAAACUAUACUCGAGCUCCACCUUAUCUUCAAUCUCAAAUGCCUUCUCAAUAUGAUUUCAUCAUAAACCUGCUAUCCUAUUUAUAAGAAAUUAAGCACAAGCUAGCUCAAGUUAUGGUCUUCAAUUAAUAUUAAUUUCGACAAAUCAGUUUCCCAUCUCUUUCAUUGAUAUGAACAUGGCUGAUCUCAUUGGUGUGGCGCAAUAUUUGUUAAAUUAGCCGUUCGGGUUGAUUUCUUUGUAUAACUCAUCUGCCAAUUCUACAACUUGUAGACUUAAUUCCCAUUACAAAAUUAAAAAUAAAAUAAAAUCCAAAACCAAUGUAAGAUAAAUAAAGACUUUUUAUAUCAUAAAAUAAGACUUUCUAACUUGUAUACAAGACUAUAGUGACAAGAUCAAACACAUUGAUGGGUGCGCAAUUUCCAUCAACAUAUGUUCUGUGCGUUUAAACUGAGCGUGGAGUCUUUUUUUAGCAAUUAAAAGUUUUGUAUCAUGUAAUUGUCUUGGUUUGACAAGACCUACAUCUAGAUGAGUUGCUUCUGAAGACUAAUGUAAAACUUUAUGUUGAUAUUUCUUGAGGGUGAAACAUCGUUUGAGAAACGUUUGGGGUCUCAUUACAAUUUUUUCAUUUAUUUUUUAACUUUUGGUUUAAAUAUUCUACUACAAAUACAUUUGUGGCUUCAAUAACUAGUAAAACCACUUUCAAAUAUCUUAGUAUUGGCUUUCAGAACAAAGGGUUUUGGUAGUACAGGUGGAGCCAUGUUGUAUAGUGUAGCUGGAAUUGGGAUGAUCUCUCUCUUUAUUUAUUUAUUUUUUUCCUUUAAUUUGCUUGCUUUGAAUGUGAUGCUCAGUUCCAACCUACUAUCCUAUUUCUAAGAAAUUAAGCACAAGCUAUCUCAAGUUAUGGUCUUUAAUUAAUAUUAAUUUCCUCAAUCUGUUUCCCAUAUCUUUCAUUGAUACUAACAUGGCUGAUCUCAUUGGUGUGACGCAAGAUUUGUUAAAAUAGCUGAUCGGAUUGAUUUUUUCUUUGUACCCGAGAAGAAAUGCAGGAAGGAGGAAUUUAUAAAGACAAUGGAUACCUGCUCUUCGCUGCAAAAAACGACACUUAAAGGACAAUUUUCCCGAGGUUUUCACCGCCGUUUUUACCGUUUGCUGCAAAAAACAAAUACUCUCCCCUUGCGAGCUCCGUCAUCAAUUCCCCUCGCGAACUUUGAGUCCCUCUGAAAAAAUGAUUAAGUGAAAUUUGAAUUUUUCAAACUUUGUGUUUGGUUAUAUCUAACGAUCCCUAAUUCCAAAUUUAUGGUUUAGAUAUAUAAAAAAGAUAUCUCGGGUACUUCAUUGCUAUCCUUUAAGCUCCCCACUUUCAAACAAAGCAAAAAAUUCUAAUUGAGUUGGGUUUUGAACAUGCAGAUUAGUUAGACAACUUAAUUACCAAUCCUUAUUAUUAUUGCAACAAACACACGGAUUACACUAAAAGCUAGUGAAUCAUACACUUGCAGAUGACUUAUCCAAACACAAAGAUAAGACAUGAGUUUAUUAUUAUUGCUAUAAACACACGGAUUACAGCGAAAUUCAAAAACUAAAAACACGGAAAAAAGUAGUGAUGAAAACCAAUGCCACUUUCGCGGGGAACACGAUUGCAUUCGCACAUGCAACAAGCCUUUUAAACCCAUAGGUGACCCAAAUGGGACGAGUGAAGUCUCGUGAGGGUUUCCAGAGACGUUACCCACAAACAUCAUGCAUACUGAUCAUCAACAUCUGACUUGGGAGACUGAGUAGAUAUCCACCCCUCCAGCAUCAGGUUGUUUUUGGUUGAGGCGUAAUUCGAAUCUGUUUUCAAUGAACGGCCUGGUUAUGAGAUCGCUUUGCAAGUGACGUAAUCGGCAGCGCGUGAUUAGGUUGUUGCUGUCAGGUGGUCCGACAGGCUCGACCUUGAACAAUGUGCAAGCCCAAUUGUCUUUGGUUUCAUUUCGGUCAGCAGCUGCGGCCAGGACCAAUAGCCUGUUUUGGUCCACCCUUCUCAAGUAGUUGCCAUUGUAGGAGCAUUUGAUAUGCACGUAAUUCUUGUCGGCGUAGUCCUCAUUGUUUGGCUUCUCUGUGGUGAACUUUAUGAACCUGCUGUUUUCAUUGUCCUCAGAAAACUGGACAAUCUCAUUAAGGUCGCUUUCUGCAUCAAGUUGAUAGCGCAAAUACUUGUUGUUGAUAUCUGCUUUCAGCAGAAAAGGGCUUGGUAGUACAGGUGGAGCCAUGUCGUAUAGUGUAGUUGGGAUUGGGAUGCUCUCUCUUUUUUAUUCUCUAUUGAUGAUCUAAUUUGCUUGCUG